rnacentral:lncRNA from 1 species
CACUCUAUGGCCGUGAUGUGCUCGGCCUCGAUAGGUGACAGUUCGGGACGGAUCUGGACCCGAGGCUCAUCCGUGUCGGACCAUCCGAGGAUGAGAAUAAGUGAUCGGUUAGCGAUGGCGAGAGAAUGGGCGUCGAGAGCACAGAGGUGAGUGGGGCUGGCGUCAGGGGCUAGCCAUCCUUCCUUGCCAGCGCCAAACUCGGACAAGUCUUCACCGGCGAUGCAGCCGAGAUCCGUCAAGGGAUGGUAGCUCCGCUUCGACAUUGGCGCCGGGCUUUUGGUUUUUUGUGUCUUGUCUCUCGGUAACUGAGGUUACGGGUUGGGAAGGAAAGAAUUUUGUACAGGCAAAGGAAUGCAGGUGACUUUGUGUGGGGUCCACGUGUAGAAGUGUGAAGAAAAUUCAGAAAAUAAAUUAAAAAAAUUAAAAUUAAUAUUAAAGCAUUGGAACAUUUUUAAUUAAAAUCUUUUAAAUUACAACAUUUUUCGAUACAAAUUUCAGAUAAAAGGGAUGAAAGCUGAACAUGAAAACCAAAUUAUCCACUACAACACCCAGAAUUGUUUAAACCACUGUCAUGGGAAAUGAUUGAGCCAGAUGUUAGAGAAGCAGGCUGCAUUCGAUUCAGUUCCAAAGUCACCCUGACAAGUAGAAAAAAAUAAAGGAAGAAUCAAUUGUAGAUUACAAAAGCAAUGAGAGCUUUGCUGUAAUCCUACUUUGCCCAAAAACUCACCUAUGCAUGAUCUGGAUGUAGUGCUAGUUUCUUCUUCCUCUGUUUCUGCGAAUCCUCUUUGUAAAGUUCUUUUGCCAAUUUCUCUCAACCAUCCUGACAAACCACCAUGGUCUUCCAGUUGAGAAUACAAUGAAUCCCAUAUAUAUUCCAAAAUCUCUCUUCGGUUCCAUCUUUCAUUGCUCUCAAAUUUUGGAAGAAUUUUGUUGGCAAGGGACAGGUGAGCUCAUUAUGAGAGAGAUCAAGUACUCGCAAUGUGGAGAAGUUUGAUGAAACUAUGGAAUUGGACAUGGGACCAUGCAAGCUAUUAUUUCGUAGAAGGAGAACUUGCAGCAUUGGAAGUGAAGCUAACCAAUAGGAAAAGGUAUCAUUGAGCUUGUUGUUCCUUACAUUCAAAAGUACCAAGAAACUACAAUUAGCCAAAGACCGCGGUAAUCCUUCCAAUUGAUUGUCAUUGAGAAGCAGAUAACCUAUUAUCUGUAAAAGAAUCAGGGAUUUUGUCAUAAAACUUAUUCAUCUCCAAAUUCAUAUACUGGAGAUAGUUGAAAUUUUCAAGACAUUCUGGAAUCGUUCCAUCCAAGUUAUUUCUUGACAAGUCAAGUUUUGUGAGCAAACUUCAAUUACAAAUCAAAGGAGAGAUAUUUCCAGGCAAGUUAUUUUUUGAAAUUAAGAAUUCAGUAAAAGACGGUGGUGGAUUUGGAUUUUGAAGAUUCAAUCAAGUUGACAGAAUUGGCCCUUGAAGCAAGUUGGACUGAAGGUCAAGGACUUGAAGAUUCUUUCCGGGAAAUUGUUCCAAAGUGGUCAGAAAGUUGUAAGAAAGGUUCAAUUUGAUCAAUCGUUCCCACCCUUCUGCUUCCCAUUGGGAAAUUCCACCACGAAUCUUGUUAUUGGAAAGAUCUAAAUCCUUCAAGUUUGAUGUUCGAAAGAAACUUGGGAAUUGUCUUAUGCUACCAGAAGAGAAUGACACUCUAACAAGCUGAGGGAAGGAGUAGUUCUCACCAUCGCCGCUUGAGCUUAACGAUAGUAAAAUAUUAUUUGAAAGAUCCAUGUACGCAAGAUUUCUGAGUUUUGCAAGCAUGUUUGACUUGAUGACACCAAUCAAGUUGUUUGAUGAAAGAUCAAGCUCUUCAAGGUUCACAAGAUCAAAAAAAGAACUGGGUAUUGGACCAUGAAUGUUUUUAAAACUCAAAUCGAUAUAGUGGACAGAAUUAGGCGUCUGAAUUUGGUCAAUUGGACCGAUGAGUUUGUUAUAGCUGAGACGUAAAUCUUGCAAAGAUGGCAAAGUAAACGGCCAAGAUGGUACUCCACCACUUAUAAGGUUAUUAGAUAGCCACAUUUCUUCUAGCAAUAGAAGCUCACUUACAUGAUUUGGCAGGGGACCUUCUAAUCGAUUAUAUGAUAAAUCUAGGAUGGUAAGUUGUGUGAGGUUGAACAUAGUUGUUGGAAGUUGACCACUAAAACUACAAGAAGAAAAUAACAAAAAAGUCAAUUUAUUAAGGUUUCAAAAAGUAUCUGGAAUUUGUCCUCCAAAAUCAUUAUAAGAAAAAUCUAAGAAGAGGAGUUGAGUGAGAUUCCAAAAUGAUGCAGGAAUUGGCCCUUUAAAACGGCAAGAGGAGGUCCAACAACUUAAGGCCACUACUCAAGUUUGUCUUUGGGCGAUAACCUGUGACAUUUUGAUUCGAAGCUAAAUCUAUGUGCUGGAGGUAUGGAAGGCAAAAAACUUCACUUGGAAAUUCCCCAUGUAGUUGACAAUCUCUGAGACUCAAACGUUCCAGAGAUGAAGUCAAGUUCAGAAAGGAAGGAAGUGCAACAUCAGACAUAUCUACAAAGUUAAGCGUCAGGUUUCUUAAAUUGGUUAAGUUUUGUGCAAGCAUGUUGAAACCUUGGCUAUCAAAUCUCAAGCUGGAAGAAUAAGCAUUCGUGGAAAGAUCGAGUGAAACCAAUUUUAAUAGAAGACUAAUUUCGUAGGGGAUUAAGCCAGAGAAUGAAUUAGAAGAGAGAUUAAGAUGAGUCAAACUCAGUAACUGAUUAAAUAACUUCGAUGAGAUAGAGCCAUUGAAAUUGUUGUGAGCAAGGUUGAGUCGUUGGAGUCCUUGAAGGUGGAAGAGGCUGCUGUUUUCAAGAAGAGAGCCAUCAAGUUUGUUGAAAUUGAGGUCGAGUCGUUGGAGUCCUUGAAGGUGGAAGAGACUACUGUUAUCAUGGAGAGUGCCAUAAAGGCAGCUGGCACUGAGGUCGAUGCCAAUGACAUGACCAGUCACCACGUGGCAACUGACUCCAUCCCAUGAGCAGCAAUCCGUGCUUUCAUUCCAAGAAUUUGUUCUUGGGUAAUCAUCACAAUAAUCAUCCAGAGAAAUGGUGUUUUUGAAUUCGAGUAAGACAGCUCUCUGUUCUGGGAGGCAUAAAUGAGCUGAAUCAAGAAAAGAGGAAGGGGUACUCAAUGGCCGAUAGACCUGAAAAUGCAAGAGAAGGAUUUGGAAUAACAACCCAAAUACCCUUCCCAUAUUUUCUCGAGAAAAAGAAAGUAUGAAACAAGGGUUGUCGAAAAGGGGCAAGUGAGGGAGGAGAACUUAAAAAUGAGUUGUUGUUGAGGCUGAGGGACAUGAGAAGUGAACUACGUAUUGGAGAAGUGGGGACAUGAAAGUGUUAGAAUGAAAAGCAUAAUCUUAUCCCAUUAGGGACUUUAGUAGGAUUUGCAUAUUUUUCUUGCAGUCUCAUUCGAUAUGUUUAUUUUAGACUAAUUGGGAUAUGCUAAUUAGACCCAAAGUUCAUUAUUGGGAUAGGCUUAGAAUUGCAACUCAUUACAGCCAGCGUUAUUGUUUUUGUUAGCAUGAUUUUCGAUCUUCCAAGUUUCAUUUUGUUCAGAAAAUUAAUCCAAAACUUUCUGUUCAAUUUUCCUAGAAGAGAAUGCAGCCUCAAAAUUGAGAAAAUAAAUAUAUGAAGUAAAUAAAUAUAUGAAGUUUUUGUUGUAGAUUGCAACAAAGUCAGGUCAUCAGCAAAGCAAUUUUAAGAAAUUGGAAUUGAUUUUACAAUUACAGUCACCAUUAGAGAGAAAUUAAGCUCAAAAGUUAGAAAUUCACAUCAUAUGAAGCAUGUUGACUGUUUGUGGUUCUUAUUUGAGGGCAUACAUUCAAAUUCAACCCUCGCAGACAGUUUUCACUCAACAAACUUAAAUUAAUUGUUACAUGGACCCUUACUUCAUGUUAAUCCCUUUUUUUACCUAUGAAAAAAAUAUAUAUAAUUUUUAAAUAUUUAACUCAAUAAUAAAUAUAUAAAACGUAAAUAUAUAUAUAUGUCAUUUAUAAAUUUAAUGCAUGAUGAUGCAACAUGUAAGUAAAAAUUAUUAUGAAUUCAGUAUAUAAAAUAUGAAUUCAUGCAUGCUCACAUGACAACUUUUGAUUACUUAUUGCAGCAAGCUGAAACAUGUGAUUAGAACGACCUAUCCAAUAAAUUUGGAUGCUUAUUGGUGUAUGACUCAUGGUGAUGUAAUUAUUAAGCAUUGAAACCAAGAGGAAGAAAUGAAGAGGGAAAUAGUGACAGAAGAUGAAGAGGGGCAAUUCAUAAAGGAAUAUCAAACAAGAUGGGCAAAGUGCCGUGUUAGAAAGGAAAGGCAUGAAGAGUGUUGACUUUGUCUGCAUACAUGUUAAAAUCGUACCAUAAAUUCUUUGUCUGCAUUGACCCUUAACAACUUGAGCAAAGAGUCAUUGAAUAACUUUCGAGAGUGAAGAGUGAAGACUACGCCCACUCUUUUGAGAAAAAAACUGUCAUUGAAUGACUUUUAAUAGGUCAUUCAAUGUGUGCCCUUCAAUGUAUUUAAGUAUUUAAUUUAAUAAUAAUUAUAUAAACAAGAAACACAGUAAAGAGAGAAAUGCACAAAGCCUAGUGGUGUAAGCAUGAGGUUACUGCAUCAAAUUGAAGAUGGAAGGCCAAGUAUAACACAGUCUGUAUAGGAGUAGAAAAUGUCAACCCCAGCCCCACCCAUCAAAAGUGAGUUAGAAUAAGGUUGAUGCUAAUACACCCAAUACUACAUAUUCUUUCAUUUAUAAAGUGUCAAAAUAUAUAAAUACAACGUUUUCUUAAUAUAAUACAAGCACAAUUAUUUAUUUUUAGAUAAUGGAAGUUGACGUAGAAUAUGAUUUUGAACUUAAUUCAUAUUUGGAUUUUGAUGGAUUAUUUGAAGAAUAAAAUAAAAUAAAUUGAGAAGCCAUUAAGACUCAAUAUUGUUUGAAUUAUACCUCAACAGAUAUGUCGAAAUGAUUGUGAUUAGUUUUUUCAUUGUUUUUGAGAGAAAGAAAGUUGUUGUUGAAGCAAAGGGAGGUAAGUAGAAUCUCACACAUUUUACUUGUGUGUUUUUGUUUUGAAGGGUGCACAUUUUACUUGUUUUGAAACUAUCUUAUAUGUAUGUUUCAUUAAGUGAAUUAAAUAUUUUGUUUCAUUAUUUCUUGCGUAUGAAAAUAGGAUUAAGCAUAUGAUUAUUUUUUAUUUUGAUUUAUUCAUGUGAUGAAUAUUGAUUAAUAAUGAGGUAUGAAAUCUUUUGUUAUGUUGUAAGGUUUUAAGAGUUAUGAAUUAAUUCUUGAGAAAUAGGAUAAUCAACAUUAAAAUUAAUUCUACAAUCUUGUUAAUGGGUUAUAAUAGUUAGCAUACGACCUAAAAACAAAAAAUACAGACCUAAAAAUGAGUUGUGGCAGAGGCCGAGGGACAUAUAAAUAGAACUACUGGACAAGUGGAGGCAUCUUUUUUUCCAAGUCAACCAACAAGUGUUUCCAAAAUCCUUUUAGUUGUUUCCGAUCAAUGCAUUUAAAGUCAAGUCUUCUCAACUUACAUAUUUAUUCAUUGUGUUGAGAAAUUUGAACAGCGAUUGUGUUUGAGCCUGGAAUCAAAACUAAAUUAAUGGUAGAGAAGGAAAAAGUGUUGGUGCCGUGUUAGAAUGGGAAGCAUGAAUUGAAGCUGCAGAUAUUCUUGAAUUCUCACUGUCUGUCUACUUUUAUUUUGUUGUUCACCGGAAAGUCUUAUUGGGAUCUGCUAAUUAGACCCAAAUUUCAUUGCAACUCAUUACAACCAGUUCUAUUAUUUUUAUUUUUAAUUUUAGCGUUUAACUCACCUGACGUAAUAAUAAAACAAAAAUUUAUUGAAUAAAGAAAUUCUUUGUGUAGAUUACAGCUAAUUCAGGGCACCAUCAAAGCAACUUCAAGAAAUUACAAAAUUAUUCGGAUCAUCACCAGAAAGACUCAAUUGAUGAAUUAUUUUGAAUUUAAGUCAUAUUUGGAUUUUGAUGAAUUAUUUAAAAAAUAAAAUAAAGUAAAUUGAGAAGUCAUUAAGACUCAAUAUGGUUUGAAUUAUACUUCAACAGUUACGUGGAAAUGACUGAUUAAUUUUUUUUAUUCUUUUCAAGAGAAAGAAAGUUGUUGUUGAAACAUCGGAGGUAAGUAGAAUCUCACACCCUUUAGUAGUUGUUUUUUUUUUUUUUAAAGUUGCACACUUCACUUGUUUUCAAACUAUCUUAUAUGUAUGUUUCAUUAAGUGUAUUAAAUGUUUUUGUUUCAUUAUUUUUUGCAUAAAAAAUAGAGAUAAGCAUAUGAUUUUUUUUAUUUUGAUUUAUUCAUGUGAUCAAAUAUUGAUUCAUAAUGAGAUAUGAAAUAUUUUGUUAUGUUGUAAAGUUUUAAGAGCUACAUUAAUUCUUGAGAAGUACAAUAAUCAACACUAGAAGUAAUUUUACGAUCUUGUUAAUGAGUUAUAAUAAUUAGCAUAUGACCCAAUAACAGAAUAUAAUAAGCUAGCAAACAAUCCCACUAGUGAGUUAUAAUAGUUAACAUAUGACAUAGAACAUGAUUUUGAAUUUAAUUCAUAUUUGAAUUUUGAUGGAUUAUUUGAAAAAUAAAAUAAAAUAAAAUAAAUUGAGAAGCCAUUAAGACUGUGAGUACAUACACUUUAUAUAUUAAUCAAAUACUCAAGUGCAAUGUUUAGGAUUUAAAUUAAAGUCUAGCAAAUUACAACAUCUUCAAUGCAAAUUCUAAAUUCAGAAAAAAAAGAAGAAGAAAAAACCCUUCUUCAAAACAUGUGUUUUCCAAGCCCCAAAAGCUACAGAUAAAAGCUGGUGCUCACAAAUUUGAAAAUGAUCAAAGCUGAACAAGAAAAGCGAAUUUUCCACUAAAAACACCCGAAUUCUUCAAACCACUGCCAUGGGAAAUGAUUGAGCCAGAUGCUAGAGAAGCAGGGUCCAUUGGAUUCGGUUCGAAAGCCACCUUGACAAAUACAAAAAAAAAAAGAAAAAGAAAAAAUCAAUUGUAGAUUACAAAAGCAAUGAGAACUUUGUUGUAAUUCUACUUUGGCAAAAAACUCACCUAUGCAUGAUCUGGAUGUACUGCUAGUUUCUUCUUCCUCUGUUUCUGCGAAUCCACUUUGUAACAUUGUUUUGCCAAUCUCUCUCAACCAUUCUGAUAAACCACCAUGGUCUUCCUGUUGUGAAUACAAUGUAUCCCAUGCUCAAUCCUAGCACCACUCCACAUCCAUAGCCCAUCAUUACAACUUUCCAAAUAAAGGCUAUUUCAGAACCUUCUUCUUCCUUAACCAUUGGUACCGGUGGUUUUGGUUCAGGGUCGCCGCAUUGCUUUGACAGUGGGAGGCCACACAAUCCCAAGUUAUCACUAUAAGAAUCAUUCUCAAAAGUAUCAAAUUGCUUCCCAUGGGGAAUUGGUCCCACAAGAUCAUUUUGUGAAAGAUUUAACACUUCAAGGAAUGUCAGAUUCGUCAAUUGGGAAGGAAUUCUACCACCAAGCUUGUUUGAUGAGAGAUCUAACGAUUCAAGUGCUAUCAUAUUUCCGAUAGACGGUGAGAUAGGACCAGUCAAGUUGUUGUGAGACAAAUUGAGUCCUUGAAGCGAAAUAAGUUCUCCGAGUUCUUCAGGAAUUUGUCCACAGAAUAGAUUAUUGGAAAAGUCCAUAAAUGUGUAAAUGGCAAAGGUUUUCACCAACUCAAUCUCCAAUCUUUUCGUUGUUACAUUCACUGAGAAAUAGUCAUAAAAAGAUAAAGGUAUACCUCUUCUAUUCCAUCUCAUGAAUACUGAAGGUCUCUCUUCAGGUAUAUCUUUCAUUGCUCUCAAAUUUUGGAAGAAUUUUGUUGGCAAGGGACCGUUGAGCUCAUUAUGAGACAAAUCAAUUAUUUGCAAUGCAGAGAAGUUAGAUGAAGCUAUGGAAUUGGGCAUGGGACCAUGCAAUCUAUUAUUUCGUAAAAGAAGAACUUGCAGAUUUGGAAGUGAAGCUAACCAAUGGGGAAAGGUAUCAGUGAACUUGUUGUCCCUUAAAUUCAAAAGAUUCAAGGAACUACAAUUAGCCAAAGACCGCGACAAUAAUCCUUCCAAUUUAUUGUCAUUGAGGAGAAGAAUUUCCAAGUUAUUAUCUCUAAAAGAAUCAGGCAUUUUGCCAUGAAAAUUAUUCAUCUCCAAAUUCAUUACCAUGAGAGAAGAGCUGAGAUUUCCAAAACAUUCUGGAAUAGUUCCGCUCAAGUUAUUUCUAGACAACUCAAGAAUCAAAAGUGAACUCCAAUUGCAAAUCAAAAGAGGGAUAUUUCCGGUUAAUUUAUUAUUUGAAACGUAGAAUGCAAUCAAAGAUUGUGGUGGAUUUGGACUUUGAUUAUUCAAGCAAGUUGAUAGAAUUGGACCUUGAAGCAAGUUGGAUCGAAGGUCAAGAACGUCAAGAUUUUUUCCUGGAAAUUGCUCUAAAGUGGUCAAAAAGUUGUAAGAAAGGUUCAAAGAAUUCAAAUUGUCCCACCCUUCUGCUUCCCAUUUGGAAAUUCCACCAUGAAUCUUGUUAUUGGAAAGAUCUAAAUCCACCAAAUUUGAUGUUCGAAAGAAACUUGGGAACGGUCUUAUGUUACAAGAAGAGAAUGACACAGAAGCAAGCUUAGGGAAGGAAUAGUUAACAUCAUUUUCGCUUGCACUUAAUGAUAGUAAACCAUUAUUUGAAAGAUCAAGAGAGAAAAGAUUUUUGAGUUUUGAAAACAUAUUUGACUUGACGACACCACUCAAGUUGUUUGAUGAAAGAUAAAGACGUUCAAGGUUCACAAGAUCAAAAAAAGAACUAGGUAUUGGUCCAUGAAUGUCAUUAGAACUCAAAUCUAUAUAUUGGACCGAAUUAGGCUUCCGAAUUUGGUCAAUUUGACCGGUAAGUUUGUUAUAGCUAAGAUCUAAAGUUUGCAAAGAUGGUAAAGUAAACAACCAAGAUGGUACUCCACCACUUACAAGGUUACUAGAUAACCAAAAAACUUCUAGCAAUUGAAGCUCACUAACAUGAUUUGGUAGGGAACCUUCUAAUCGAUUAAAUGACAAAUCUAGAUAGGUAAGUUGUGUGAGGUUGAACAUGGAUGCUGGAAGUUGACCACUACAAUUACAGGAAUCAAAUGACAAAAAAGUCAAUUUAUUAAGAUUUCCAAAAACAUCUGGAAUCUGUCCUCCAAAAUCAUUUUGAGAAAAAUCUAGGAAGAUGAGUUGAGUGAGAUUUCCAAAUGAUGCAGGAAUUGAUCCUUUAAAACGGCAAGAGGAAAGGUCUAACAACUGAAGGGCAUUACUCAAGUUUGACUUAGGGAGAUAACCUGUGAGAUUGUAAUUGUUACUUAAAUCUAUAUGCUGGAGGUAUGGAAGGCGAAAAACUUCAAUUGGAAAUUCUCCAUGCAGUUGACACUCUUUGACACUCAAACGUUCUAGAGAUGAAGUCAAGUUCAGAAACGAAGGAAUUGCAACAUCAGACAUAUCUACAGAGUCAAGGAUAAGAUUUCUUAAUUCAAUGAAGUUUCGUGCAAGCAUUUCAAAACCUUGAUUAUCAAAUCUCAAGUUGUGAUCACCACCACUCCAAGAAAGAUCAAGUGAAACCAACUUUGAUAGGAGACUGAUUUCAUAUGGGAUUAAGUCAGAGAAUGAAUUAAAAGAGAGAUUAAGAUGGGCCAAACUCACAAACUGAUUAAAUAACUUCGAUGAGAUCGAGCCAUUGAAAUCGUUGUAAGCAAGGUUGAGCCGUUGGAGUUCUUGAAGGUGGAAGAGAUUGCUGUUUGCAGGAAGAGUGCCGUUAAGGCAGCUUUCACUGAGGUCGAUGCCGAUGACAUGACCCGUCACCUUGUGGCAACUGACUCCAUCCCAUGAACAACAAUCCGUGCUUUCGUUCCAAGAAUUUAUCUUGGGGUAAGAAGAAAACGUCUGACAAUCACCCAAAGAAAUGGUGUUUUUGAAUUCGAGCAAGGCAGCUCUCUGCUCUGGGAGGCAUAAAUGAGCUGAAGGAAGAAAAGAGGAAGGGGAACUCAAUGAACAAUGGACCUGGAAAUGGAAGAGCGCUAAAAGCAGGCAAUGGUACAACAUCCUAAUUACCUUUCCCAUAUUUUGUCGAGGAAAAGGAAAUUAGGAAUCAAGGGUCGUGGAAAAGGGGCAAGUGAGGGAGGUGAACUUAAAAAUGAGUUGUGGUUGAAGCUGAGGGACACGAGAAUUGAAGUAGUACUGGAGAAGUGGGGACAUGAAAUUAAAGUUUUUGUGCCGUGUUCGAAUGAAAAGCAUGAAGGCCGCUGAAUCCCAUCCCCUUAGAGACGUUGGUAGGAUUUGCAUAUUUUUCUUAAAUUCUCAAUUGAUGUCUAUUUUUAUUUUAGACCCAAAUAUUUCAUGAUGAGAAUCUAAGUGGAGUAGCGACACAAAACAGUUGGUCUUAGAAUUGCAACUCAUUACAACCAGUGUUAUUGUUUUUGUCAGGUUGAUUUUGGAUAUUCAAGUUUCAUUCUAUUCAUGACAUGCUAAUGUCACUUGGAUAAUGUUCAAGCAAGAACAUGAGUGCAAGGAAUGUCAUUAUGCAAGAUUUAUCAAUUAAUUGAAGUGACUUUUUCUUUCUGUAAAUAUAUAAAAAAAAAUUAUUGAGUCUUAAAAAAAAGAAGCAACUCUCUCCAAUCUUUUUUUUUUAUUCUUUUUUAGUUUGAAAAAAAAGAAACCAUAUCUUUAAACCUAACUUUUUAAAUAUGGAAAUAUAUGCAAUUUUUGGCAAUAUAUACACUAUUUUCUUAUUUUGAAAAUCUGUUAAAGUGGCCCUUCAGACAAACAGAUGAUAAUUGAAGUAAACAUUUAAUUUUUAUUCCUUUUUAUUAGCAGAAAAUUAAAGUAAACUUCAUAGUUUAGUUAUAUAACUUUUUAAAAAAUUAAAAAUAAAAAAUCAGAUAAUUUAAUUGAAAUUUUCCGUAAAAGGCCCCCAUUUGUUGGAGUUUUUCAGUUUUACGCCUAAAAUUAAUCCAAAAUUUUAUGUUCAAUUUUCAUAGCAUAAAAACGCAGCCUCAAAAUCAUUUUCUUUUGUAGUAUUUAACUCACAUGAGGUGAUAAAAUAAAUUAAAAAUUCAUUGAAUAAUUCAAAAUUGAAUCUAUCAAAUUGGGUCAAGCCAGUGGGCCACCCGACCCAUGGAUAGGUCUAGUACAGUGUUUGUAGAAAGGAAAAACGUGAAUGCUAUCGACUGUUGUUGUUCCUAUUUGAAGGCACAUUCAAAUUCAAUCCCUUUCAUACAGUUGUUUCUCAAUAGAUUGGACAUAGUCUUCACUCAACAAAGCUAAUUAAUUGUUAUACGAACCCUUAGUUCACGUUAAUCCCUUUUCUUACAUAUGAAAAUAUAGAUAUAUAUGUAAUUUUUGAAUAAUUAAUUCAAUAAUAAGGAUCAAAUUUCUACUUCAACCCUUUCAUCCUUGUUCUUUCCGUGCAUAAUAAAAAAUUAUUAAAUAGACAGCAUAUUUUCUCAUAUUUUCAUACGAGACAACAUCCUAACUACCCUUCCCAUAUUUUCUCGAGAAAAAGAAGGUUACGUAACAAGGGUCGUCGAAAAGGGAGGUGAAGUUGAAAAUGGGUUGUGGCUGAGGCCGCAGGACAUAUAAAUAGAAGUACUGGAGAAGUGGAGACAUCCUUUUUUCCAGUCAAUCAACAAGUUUUUCCAAAAUCAUUUAAGUUGUUUCCCAUCAAUGCGUUUAAAGUCAAGUCUUCUUAGCUUAAAAAUUUAUUAAUUGGGUUGAGAAAUUUCAACAGCAAUAGUGUUAGAGCCUGGAAUCAAAAGUAAAUUAAUGGUAUAAAAAAAAGAAGUGUUGGUGGCGUGUUAGAAUGAAAAGCAUGAAUUGAAGGUGCAUAUAUUCUUGAAUUCUUAUUGUAUGUCUACCUUUAUUUUAUUGUUUACAGGAAAGUCUUAUUGGGAUAAGCUAAUUAGACCCAAAUGUCCCACAAUUAUCAUCCAGAGAAAUGGAGUUUCUGAAUUCGAGCAAGGCAGCACUCUGUUCUGGGAGGCAUAAUAAAUGAGUUGAAUGAAGAAAAGAGGAAGGGAAACUCAAUGAACAAUGGACCUGGAAAUGGAAGAGCGCUAAGCUGAGGGACAUGAAAAGUGAACUAGUAGAGCAUCUCUUUUCCAAGUAAACCACCAGGUCUUUCCAAAAUCUUUUUAAGUUGUUUUCCAUUAAUGCAUUUCUAGACAACUUAAAACAUUGUUCACUAUGCUGAGAAUUUUCAACAGAAAAAGUGUUUGCCUAAAAUCAGAAUGGAAAGCGCUGGUGGCGUGUUAGAAUGGAAAGCGUGAAGCCCGCUGACCCUAUCCCAUCCCAUCUGAGGCGUCAGUAGGAUUUGCAUAUUUUCUUGAUUUCUCACUGUAUGCCUCCUUCUAUUUUGUUUUUUAUAGGAAAACCUUACUGGGAAAAAGCUGAUUAGAACCAAAUUUCAUUAUCGGAAUCUAAGUGGAGUAGAGACACAAAAACUAUUCAUCUUAGAAUUUGCAAUUCAUUACAACCAGUUCUAUUAUUUUUAUUUUUAUUUUUAUUUUUAGUGUUUAACUCACCCGACGUAAUAAUAAAACAAAAAUUUAUUGAAUAAAGAAAUUCUUUAUGUAGAUUACAGCGAAUUCAGGCCACCAUCAAAGCAACUUUAAGAAAUUACAAAUAUAUUCGGAUCAUUACCAGAAACAUACCUUUUUAAAAAAAAAAAAAAACCAAAUAUUAAAGCAAGUUUAUAAGCAUGUUUUUAUCAUCCUUCAAUUACUUUUUCAUGUUAAAAGCACCUACUAAAAGUUAGAGUAAUGUUAUUUUUCCUUGUAUUUUUGUUUUUACUAACAUGAUUAAAAAAUUAAAAUUUUAUUAAAUAAUUUAAAAAUAAGAUUUUAUAGACUGACAGAACAUGGGGCGACACAACAGAUCAGUAAAGGGUAGAACGGCACAGUGAAUCACCAGAAUGAUCAGGUCAGCUAAUUCUCACGUUGCGAAUUAUAGAAAAAUCAUUCUGUUUGAAGAACUUAAGUACUCUGCUGCAGUUCCAUUUUUUGAACUAUUAUGGAUGGCUGGAGUCUAUUCCCAAGUAAAACUUUUGCACUGUGGAUUCUGUGUUGCUGAAGGUUAGAGCCAGAUGUCACGUAGGGAUAGAAAUAUUGAUACUGGUGGUUUUUUGGUAGUGCCAGACAGUUAGGUAUUAAGAGUUGACAGAGCUUUUGUAAGGGGUGAACAGGGUGGUGCAGAGGAAACAUAACUAUGCAAAACCAGCUAUACCUAGAGCUGAACUGUUGUUCCCUCAAAUAUCAAUACAUAUUGAACUUAAAAAAAAAAAUGCAAGCUUAUCCAUACAGUGUGACUGCAUACACUUUAGACAUUAAUCAAAUGCUCAAGUACAAUGUUUAGGAUUUAAAUUUAAGUCUUGCAAAUUAAAACAUUUUCAAUACAAAUUCUAAAUUCAGAAAAAAAAAAAGACCUUCAAAACAUGCCUUUUCCAAGCCUCAAAACCUACAGAUAAAAGCUACUGCUCACAUAUUUAAAAAUGAUCAAAGCUGAACAGGAAAAGCAAAUUUUCCACUAAGAACACCAAGAAUCAUAUUACCCAUUCAGAUACUCAGUGAACACCUGAAUUCAGAUACUCGACAAACUUUAUCGACUUAUUUGAGACAAAAUUUAAGUUUAAUGAUUAAAACAGGAAUUAUGUGGAAGUUCAGUGACCAUCCGUGCAACUUAGUCUAUUUAUUCUCUGAAAUUUAACUGUUCCAAUGUUGCUGCCGUCCAAAAAUUGGAUAUUGGCAGCAGCCGACAUAUCCCUUGGUAGCCGUGCAACCAAAGCAUGGCUGGCCUCCUUUUGGGCACCAACCUGGACUCAAAAAAUGUAAUGCAUUUGUUUAUGUAAUAUGAAUAUUCCCUCAUAUGGCCAGUUGGGUUACGUACGAUACAAAAUCGGGGAUUCUUAGCUGCCAAAAAAAGGAUAAUAAUCCAAACCCAUAGCCAGCUUUUACUGUGUAACUCUUUUACUUUACAGUUUGGUUUCAAUUUAGUUGAUUGCCAUAAUCACAGAAUCAUUGAAAUAGGAUUCUUCAGUCGGGGAAAAUGUGGGGUGUCCUAGCUCAUAAGAUCGAAUCAAGUCCUUUCUUAAUAAAUAUAGUUUAUGUGUGUUUCAAACAAUCAUAUCUGUUGGUUUUUUCCAACAAACAUGACUUUUAUUUUAAUUUUAUUUUUUAACAGACAUGAUUUUUUAAAUAUAAUUUUUUUAAUAGAUAUUUUAUUUAAAACUGUUCCAAUAGAAAGAAAAUGAAGAUGGUGACAGAAGAUAAAAAGGGGGAAUUCAAAAAGGAAAUUAAACAAGAUGGCAAAGUACCAUGUUAGAAAGGAACGGCAUGAAGCGUGUUGACUGUUGUAUGCAUACAUGUUAAAAUCGUACCAUAUAGACUUGUCUGCAUAGACCCUUAACCUGAGCUAAUUAAGGGUCUUUGUACAGCUUUUGGGAGUGAAGAGUGAAGACUACGCCCACUCUUUACUAUCCUUGAAUGACGCAUGAUUGAGGGUUCAAUGGGCUCCCUUAAAUCCUGAGUGUAAAAAGAAAAAAUGUAUUUAAGUAUUUAAUUUAAUGAUAGAUAUAUAAACAGUAAACAGAGUAAAGAGAGAAAUGAACAGAACCUAGUGGUGUAAAUAAGAAAUUACUGCAUCAAACUAAAAUGAAAGGCCAAGUAUAACACUGUUUGUAUAGGAGUAGAAAAUGUCAACCUGAGCCCGACCCAUCAGAAGCGACUUAGAAUAAGGUUGAUGCUAAUACACCCAAUACAAAAAUAACUUCUUUUGAAUGAUCAACAUAUACUUUCUUUUAUAAAGUGUAAAAUAUAUAAAUACAACAUUUUCUUAAUAAAAAAAAGUGCAAUUAUUUAUUUUUUUGAUAAUGGAUGUUGAUGUAGAACAUUCUUUUCAAUUUAAUUCAUAAUUACAUUUUGAUGGAUUAUUUGAAAAUAUAAAAUAGAUUGAGAAAACAAAAAGACUCGAUAUGGUUUGAAUUCUACCUCAACAGUUAUAUUGAAAUGAUUGUGACUCGACUUUUAAUUAUAUUUUGAAGAAAACAAGUUGUUGAAUCAAAGAGAGAUAAGUUAAGCCUCACACUUUGUUUGUUUUGAUAUUAUUGUAUAAGUAGAUUUCUUUAAAUGAAGUAAAUAUUUUUUUCAUUAUUUUUUGUAUAUGAAAAUAAGGUCAAGUAUAUGAUUUUUUUUUUAUUUUGAUUUAUUUAUUUGACAAAUAUUGAUUCAUGAAUUAGGUAUGAAAAGUUUUUCUGUUGUGUUAUAAAAUUUUUAAAGUUACAAAUUAAUCCUUAAAAAGUGAGAUAAUUGACAUCAAAACUAAUUGUAUGACCCUAUUAACGAAUUAUAAUAAUUUUUUUUGUUUUGAAAAGUAACGAGUUAUAGUAGUUAGUGUCUGAUCUCACUAAUGAGUUACAACAGUUAGCAUAUCAUUUCACCAAUAGGUUAUAAUAAUUGGCAUAAGGCUCAAUUAACUGAUUAUAAUAGUUAACAUACAACUCUACUAACAGGUGAUAAUAAAUAGUAAGAUCAUGAAAAUAAUGAUAUGAUCCUUAUCAAAGGUUAUAAUAGUGAUCAUAAUCAAAGAUGCAAAAACUUUAUGAGUUUUAAAAAUUAAAUUUAUGAUUUACUUGUUAGAAUAUUAAAAUCAUGAUUUUUUUUAAUCAAUAAUUUACAAACUUAAAAAAUUAUUCGUUUUAGAUAAUAGGAUUCUUUAAUUGUUUUAAAAACAUGAUUAAUUGAAAUAUUUUAAAUAAUUCAUAUAAUAUAUUGAAAUCAUGUUUGAUGUGGUAUAUAUAUGUGGCUAUACUUGCUGAGUUGUUCUUCAUCAUUCUGUCAGUGAUUGCUGCACCAACACAUGACCCAUACUUAUUAACAUUCCAUAACUGGUAAGGUAAUCUCCCAUAAGAGUUUCCUACAACCUUUGAAUCUUUCUUUGGUUUCCAAUCCCAAAAACGAGAAUUUGGUUCUUAACACCACCUUUGAAACAUACUUAGUGAUGGAGCCAAGAUUUCAUGUUUGGAGGGGUAACGGCUCAGAAAUGUCAACAUUUUGUGAAACAGUCCUUUUCUUAAAAGAAGAUUCAAUUUUCUUAUUACUCAUGACAAUUUAUUUUCAUAAUUCAAAAAUCUUUAAAAUUAUUCAAAAGAAUCAAUCUUAAUAAUUUACUUAAAAUAAUUAACUACUAUAAUCAUAAAUAAUUUAAUAAUGACAAUAAUCGUAUUCCUUGAUAAACUUUAACAACAAACAAAAAUUAAAAAAUAUAAUAACAAAAAUCUUAAUGGGAAGUAAUACCCUAAAAAAUAUUAAGUGCUAUCAAUAAACAAUUCAAUGGGAAGCAAUUCCCUAAAAUUAAUCACAAAAAUUAAAUACAAUAUCAGUAAACAAUUUAACGAAGAAGCAAUCCCCAAAUAAAAAACUUAUUUGUUCACAAAAAUCUAAAUAAAAAAAAUAAUUUGUAAAAAAGCAAUCAAGCAAUGCUUAAAUAAAUAAGUAAUAACUAACCUUACGUACUUAAUUAAAUCUUUGCUUUGUUGUUUUCAGUAAAAAAUGGUUAAGAUGGUAAAUCCUAAAUCAAAAUUAAUAAACAAAAACUAUAAAAUAAAAAAAAGUUUAAAGUUGAAAAUAUUAAAAAUAAAAUAACAUUAAAUAAACCAAAUUUACCAAUUAUCAUGACAUGAUAUUUAAGUUAUUGACUAGAGGUUUUAUGCACAGAGAAUGCUCAAGGAAAAAAGUGUUAGAAAAAAAUGACUUUUUGUUUCUAUUUGGUAAGAAAAAAGGAGAAUAAGAGGUGAUGGUUGUAAGGUUUCGGGAAGUGAAAUUUGGGCAUAAUUCUAUUGAAAAAUAGGUUUUUUUUUUUAGUCCUAAGUCCUGCUGACUAAUUGUUGUGGGGCAUCUCACCAAAUAAAAAAUUAUUAUAAGGACAAAAUUAUAAAAUUUCAAAAAAAAUAUGUUAGAAAAAUUUUAAAAUUUUUGUAGAGACAAAAUUAAAAAAUUUCAAAAAAAUAAAAGUAUAAAAAUUUUAUACUUGUUGGGGGCCCACUAGCCCCCCCUCCCUUCCGCCUUGAGCAUACUCUACAUUACCAGAAUGGAGUCAUCUAAGUUAGUCAAACAUGUCCAAAAUAUACACAAAUCUAAUGCUUUGUUUCUGCAUAAGAUAACAAGGCAAGGUUCUUGCCAUUUUCUAAAAUAACUAUGACACAUUUAAGCAAAGACUCACCUGAGAUGACAACACAGAACUUUCCUCUGAAGAUAUAUCUUGUGUCACAUCUUUCUUAACUUUACAAUACAUCCUGAAUAUACCAUCUAAAAUCCAAUAUUAAACAAAUGAGUUCACAUACAACCUAAUAACUUUGGAUUCAACUCAUGUUAACAUAACAAGACUUUAUUCGACUCAUCAGUUAAAAAAACACAUACAACCUACAAGUUUAUUGAAAAAUCUACAAACAUACCAAUUAUGUUCAUUUCACUUCGCACUUUCUACAAUUAUAUCAUCCUUUGUAGUUAAAACUUUUAAGGCAAACGAUUAAUUUACGUGAAGUUGAAAUAUUAAAUUGAGGGUACAAGUAAAAAACUAAACACAUAAUUAAAUCCAGCAUUCUAUAAAUUGAAAUUUAUCAAGCUACAAUUUUUAUUGUCGCUCCUCUCCUUGUUUUUGGAAACAAGUACACAAAAAAAAAGCAAUAAUUUUUGAAGAAUUAAAAAUAAAAAUGUAACUUAUUUAGAUAAGGAAAUGCAUAAUUAUACUUUUAUAAGAAGUAAUUAUCUUUAUAAUUAACAUUAUAUUCCAGUCAAUGUUCAUAAAAUCAAUUACAUAGUUUUGCUUUAAAGCAACCUUCGAAGCAAAUAGCAAAAACAACCAAACCAAGCUCUAAAAAGAUAAAAACUUAAAAGAAAAAUUACCUAUCGAUGAAUCAAACCACGGAGUAGAGUAAACCAAGAUAAACCUUCGGGAGGUCCCAACUGCAAUCAAUUUAAUCUCAUCUUCGCCGGUGAUGCAGUCGACAUCCGUCAAGUAAAGCUGGCUCUGCUUCGACAUUGGCAACUGAGAUAACGGAUUGGAAUAGGAAAGGAAAGAAUUUUGUAUAGGAAAGGUAAGCAGGUGCCUUUGUGGGGCCCAUGUGAAGAGUUGUGAAGAAAAUUCAGAAAAUUAAUUACAAAAUUAAAAUUAAAGCAUUGGAACAUUUUUAAUUAAAGUUUUGCAAAUUAAAACAUUUUCAAUACAAAUCCUAAGUUCAUCAGAAGAAAAAAAAAAACUACUUCAAAACUUGUCUUUUCCACAUAAAACUUCAGAUAAAUGCUGCCAAAUAUGAAAAGCAAAUUAUCCACUAAGAACACCCUGAAUUGUUCAAACCACUGUCAUGGAAAAGCCAGAUACUAGAGAAGGAGGGUCCAUUGGAUUCGGUUCGAACACCACCCUAGCAAGUAGAAAAAAACAAAGGAAAAAUCAAUUGUAGAUUACACAAGCAAUGAGAAAAAUUCCAUUGAACUCGAAGAUACUUUCCUGAAAAUUGCUCCAAAGUGGUCAAAAAGUUGUAAGGAAGGUGCAACUCGAGCAAGCUUUCCCACCCUUCUGCUUCUCAUUUGGAAAUUCCACCACAAAUCAUGUUAUUGGAAAGAUCUAAAAUUUCCAAAUGAUGUUCGAAAGAAAUUUGGGAAUUGUCUUAUGCUACACGAAGAGAAUGACACAGUAGCAAGCCGGGUAAAGGAAUAGUUAACAUCAUUGCCGCUUGUGCUUAAUGAUAGUAAACAAUUAUUUGCAGAACAUCAAAACAUUAAAGUUCUUAUUUAAACAAAACAUUAUUUAAUUAAUAAUGUUCUUUCUUAAAUAAUUAUUUAAACAAUUAUUUGUAAACAAAACAUUAAAGUUCUUUCUUAAAUAAUUAAUACUCUCUCUAUCCACUUAAAUAUUUAAUUGCACAUCAGAACACGUUAAGAUGAACCCUUUUGGUGUAAGCCCAUAGUAGAACAGCAAAACUAAGCAUGUGGCAAGGAUGACAAUAAAAAUUAUAAAAAGGCUUACUAAAUACAAUAAUCAGAGAAACAUGCAAGCAGAGGUUACAUGCUUAACAAUGAGACUGUUGCCACAAAUCUUGUGAUAGUACCAAAGGAAAAAUGAGAACUAAAGAUCAGUUAAAUGAUCUCAGCAACAGCAAACACUCCUGACCAAUGUAAAUCAGCUUCAAUCACCUAAAAAUUUGAUUCUAAGAAAAUAUUUCUUUUAGAAUAAUUAUAAGUAUACAUGAAUUUUGAAACAAGCACAUAUUUUUAGAGAUUCACACUACAUAAUUUAAGUACCAUGGAGAAGAUAACAGCAGAACUAACAGCAGAACCAAAUGAGGAAUAAUAUACAAGUUUAACAAACUUCACCUCGAGCAAAUGACUGAGGCUUCUCUUCUGACUUCCUCUUUGGCGUUUGUUCAGUCCGCCAUAUCAUUUUAGAAAAAGAAGCAAUUGUGGAAAAUGUUGCAGGCACAACUUUUGACAAAAUAGCUCCCAUCAAGGAACAGUUCCUAUCUUCUGAAAGUCUUCAACAUAAUUAAACCAAAGUUUAUCAAUAAAGCAAAAAAGUGAAACUACAAAUGAAAGAAUCCCUUCUUGUAAUGAAAGAUAAAUCAUAUGAUCUUUCAAAAUGCGAAGAAACUAACCUGAAAGCUGAGAUCACUGCAUCAUCUCCAAUGGUGACUACACAAUAGUAACGUUGACUUGACUGCGCAACAAUAAAAGCAGCUGAAUUCAAAUACCAGAAUAACUUCAGAAAGCUUCCAUAAUUCAUUGGCAAAAUUAACAAAAGCAUAAAUAAAAUGUACUAUAAGGAGCAAAAUAUUGAACCAGUAAAACCAUUUUUUCAAACGCUCAUUUUGAAGAUCAAAUGGCCAUUAAUUAAGAAUUGAAAAAUAAAUUAUUCAACUACUAGCAUGAGCUAGUAAAGAUAAAGCAACAUUAGAAAUCACUUGGAGUUCCAUGAAAAGGGGUGGCAUUAUGCCAGUGAUUGCUGCAUCAACACAUGUCCCACACCUAUUAACAUUCCAUAACUGGUAAGGUAAUCUCCCAUAAGAGUUUCGUAUAUCCUCUGAAUCUUUCUUUGGAUUCUGAUCCCAAAAACAAGAAUGUGUUUCUUGAAACCACCUUUGAAGCAUACUCUACAUUACCAGAAGGGAGUCAUCUAAGUUAAUAAAUCGAAUGCUUUGCAUCUGCAUCAGAUAAACAGGCAAGGUUCUUGCCAUGUUCCUGAAUAAUUAUUACACAUUUAAGCAGGGAUUCACCUGAAUAUCAGAUCCAUCAAAAUGAGCAAUUACACCAGGUAUGACAACACAGACCUCCUCUGAAGAUAUAUCUUGUGUCAGAUCUUUCUUGGUUCCACGGACUCUUAACUUUACGAUGCGUCCUGGAUAUACCAUCUAAAAUCAAAUAUUAAACAAAUGAGUUCACCAUUCCAACAAUGAUAUAUCUCUAACUGAUCUCAACCGAAUAGCUUUAGAUCUAAUUGAUGUUAACACAAGACUUCAUCCCACUCAUCAGUUAAAAAACACAUAUAACCUAUAAGUUUACAUGAAAAUCUACAAAACACACCAUUUAUGUUCAUGUCACUUUUCUACAAAUGAAUCAAGUUAAAAUGUUAAAUUGAACGUAAAAUUAAAAAACUAAACACAUAAAUAAAUCCAGCAUUCAAUAAAUUGAGUGUAAAUUAUUUUUAUUGUGCUUCUACUGCUUGCUUCUUGAAGCAAAACGCAAAAAAGCAAUCAUUUUUGAAGAAUUAAAAAUGAAAAUGUAAUUAUUUAGAUAUCUGAAACGCAUAAAUAUACUUUUAUAUGAAGUAAUUAACAUUAUGUUCAUUUAAUCAAUUACAUAAUUGUGCUUUAAAGCAACCUUUCAAGCAAAUAGCAAUAACAACCAAACCAAGCUCAAAAAAGACAGAAACGAAAAACAAUAAUUACCUGUCUAUGAAUCAAAUCUGCUCGCAAAGUGUACACCAAGAUGAACCCUCAGGAGGUCCCAACUGCAAUCACUUUAAUCUCAUAGAAAACCAGCCACUCUAUGGCCGUGAUGUGCUCGGCCUCGAUAGGUGAUAGAUCGGGUCGCAUAUUGACACGAAGCUCAUCCGGGUCGGACCAUCCGAGGGUGAGAAUAAGAGAUCGGUUAGCGAUGGCGAGAGAAUGGGCGUCCACAGCACAUAAAAGAGUGGUGCUGGCGUCAUGCUAGCCAUCCUUCCUUGCCAACGCCGAACUCAGACAAGUCUUCGCCGGCGAUGCACCGAGAUCCGCCUAGGGCAACUGAGAUUACAGAUUGGAAUUUGGACAGGAAAGAAUUUUGUAUAGGACAGUAAAGCAGAAGACUUACUGUGGAGUCCACGUGUAGAGUUGUGAAGAUAAUUAAGAAAAUUAAAUAAAAAAAUUAAAAUUAAAAGUAAAGCAUUUUUAACUAAAGUCUUUUAAAUUACAACAUUUUUCGAUACAAACUUCAAACAAAAGUAGCUGCUCACAAAUUUAAAAAUGAUAAAAUGCUGCUCCUCACGAAGAACACCCAGAAGCUGCUGUUGCAUUAGAUUCAGUUCGAAAGCCACCUUGACAAGUAGAAAAAUGAAAAGGAAAAAUCUGGAUGUAGUGCUAGUUUCUUCUUCUGCUGCUGCGUCUGCGAAUCCAAUUUGUAACAUUGUUUUGCCAAUCUCUCUCAACCAUUCUGACAAACCACCAUGGUCUUCCUGUUGUGAAUACAAUGUAUCCCAUGCUCAAUCCUAACACCACUCCACAUCCAUAGCCCAUCAUUACAACUUUCCAAAUAAAGGCUAUUUCAGAACCUUCAUCUUCGUUAAGCAUUGCUACCGGUGGUUUUGGUUCCUCAUCAUUGCCGCAUUGCUUUGAUAGUGGGAAGCCACACAAUCCCAAGUUACCACUAUAAGAAUCAUUCUCAAAAGUAUCAAAUUGCUUCCCAUUGGGAAUUGGUCCCACAAGAUCAUUUUGUGAAAGAUUUAACACUUCAAGGAAUGUCAGAUUCGUCAAUUGGGAAGGAAUUCUGCCACCAAGCUUGUUUGACGAGAGAUCUAACGAUUCAAGUGCUACCAUAUUUCCGAAAGAUGGUGGGAUAGGACCAGUCAAGUUGUUGUUAGACAAGUUGAGCGUUUGGAGAGAAAUAAGUUCUCCGAGUUCCUCAGGAAUUUGUCCACAAAAUAAAUUGUUCGAAAAGUCUAUGGAUGUAAAAAUAGUUAGGGUUUCCACCAACUCCAUCUCCAAUUUUUUUGUUGUUACAUUCACAGAAGCUUUCUCAAUAUCAACCAUAGAAGAUGCGCAGUCGCGAUUAUAUGGCUGUCCAGGAGUACACGACAGUCUCUUUUGAGGUACAUGAUCUUUCAUUGCUCUCAAAUUUUGGAAGAAUUUUGUUGGUAAGGGGCCGGUGAGCUCAUUAUGAGAGAGAUCAAUUAUUUGCAAUGCCGAGAAGUUAGAUGAAGCUAUGGAAUUGGGCAUGGGACCAUACAAUCUAUUCUUUCGCAAAAUAAGAACUUGUAGGUCAGGAAGUGAAGCUAACCAAUGGGGAAAGGUAUCAUCGAACUUGUUGUUCCUUAAAUUCAAAAUUUUCAAGGAACUACAGUUAGCCAAAGAUCGCGGCAGUAAUCCCUUCAAUUGGUUGUCAUUAAGGAAAAGAUUUGUCAACGAAUUACUUGUAAAAGAAUCAGGGACUUUGCCAUAAAAGUUAUUCAUCUCCAAGUUCAUGAACUGGAGAAAAAAGCUGAAAUUUCCUAGACAAUUUGGAAUGGUUCCAGUCAAGUAAUUUCUAGACAAGUCGAGAAACACAAGCGAACUUUGAUUGCAAAUCAAAGAAUUUGAAAGAAUUGGCCCUUGAAGCAAGUUUGACCGAAGGUCAAGAACUUCAAGAUUCAUUCCUGGAAAUUGCUCCAAAUUGGUCAAAGAGUUGUUAGAAAGGUACAACUCGAGCAAGCUUUCCCACCCUUCUGCUUCCCAUUUGGAAAUUCCACCAUAAAUCUUGUUAUUGGAAAGAUCUAAAAUAUUCAAAUUUGAUGUUCGAAAGAAACUUGGGAACUGUCUUAUGCUACAAGAAGAAAAUGACACUUUAACAAGUUGAGGGAAGGAAUAGUUAACAUCAUUGCCGCUUGUGCUUAAUGAUAGUAAACUAUUAUUUGAAAGAUGAAGAUCCGUAAGAUUUUUGAGUUUUGCAAGCAUAUUUGACUUGAUGACACCACUCAACUUGUUUGAGGAAAGAUCAAGCGUUUCAAGGCUCACAAGAUCAAAAAAAGAAUUCGAUAUUGAUCCAUGAAUGCCAUUAGAACUCAAAUCAAUAUAUUCAAGAGAAUUAGGCUUCUGAAUUUGGUCAAUUGGACCGGUGAGCUUGUUAUGGCUGAGAUCUAACCUUCCCAAAGAUGGCAAAGUAAACAGCCAAGAUGGUACUCCACCACUUAUAAGGUUAUUGGAUAUGCUAAUAUCUCCAAGCAAUUGAAGCUCACUAACAUGAUUUGGCAGGGAACCUUCUAAUCGAUUAUAUGACAAAUCUAGAUGGGUAAGAUGUGUGAGGUUGAACAUAGUUGAUGGAAGUUGACCACUAAAAUUACAGGAAUCAAAUGACAAAAAAGUCAAUUUAUUAAGAUUUCCAAAAGCAUCAGGAAUCUGUCCUCCAAAAUCAUUUCUUGUAAAAUCUAGGAAGAUGAUUUGAGUGAGAUUUCCAAAUGAUGCGGGAAUUGACCCUCUAAAACUGCAAAAGGAAAGGUCCAACAACUUAAGGGCAUUACUCAAGUUUGUCUUAGGGAGAUAACCUGUGAGAUUUUGAUUCCAACCUAAAUCUAUGUGCUGGAGGUAUGGAAGGCUAAAAACUUCACUUGAAAGUUCUCCAUCUAGCUGACAAUAAUUAAGACUCAAAUGUUCCAGAGAUGAAGUCAAGUUCAUAAAGGAAGGAAGUGCAACAUCAGACAUAUCUACAAAGUCAAGGAUAAGGUUUCUUAAUUCAGUUAAGUUGCGUGCAAGCAUGUCAAAACCUUGACUAUCAAAUCUCAAGCUGGGAUAACCAUUCCUUGAAAGAUCGAGUGAAACCAAUUUUGACAGGAGACUGAUUUCAUAUGGGAUUAAGUCAGAGAAUGAAUUACAGGAGAGAUUAAGAUGGGUCAAACUCACUAAUUGAUUAAAUAACUCUGAUGAGAUAGAGCCAUUGAAAUAGUUGUGAGCAAGGUUGAGUCGUUGAAGUCCUUGAAGGUGGAAGAGGCUGCUGAUUUCAAGAAGAGAGCCAUGAAGGUUGUUGGCACUGAGGUCGAGCCAUUGAAGUCUUUGAAGGUGGAAGAGGCUGUUGUUUGCAGGGAGAGUACCGUUAAGGCAGCUGGCACUGAGGUCGAUUCCAAUGACAUGACCCGUCACCAUGUGGCAACUGACUCCAUCCCAUGAACAACAAUCCGUGCUUUCAUUCCAAGAAUUUGUUGUAGGGUAAGAAGAAGGUACCCAACAAUCAUCUAGAGAAAUGGUGUUUUUGAAUUCGAGCAAGGCAGCUCUCUGUUCUGGGAGGCACGAAUAAGCUGAAUGAAAAAAAGAGGAAGAGGAAGUCAAUGAACAAUGGACCUGGAAAUGCAAGAACGCUAAAAGCAGGAAAAGGAUUCGAUACAACAUCCUAACUACCUUUCCCAUAUUUUCUCGAGAAAAAGGAAGUUAUGAAACAAGGGUAGUCGAAAAAGGGCAAGCUAGGGAGGUGAAACUGAAAAUGAGUUGGGGCUGAGGUCGAGGGACAUUAUAAAUGAAGUACCUGAGAAGUGGAGACAUCCCUUUUCAAGUCCACCAACAAGUCUUUGCAAAAUCUCUUAAAUUGUCAAAAUUAAAUUAAUGGAAAAAAAAAGGAAAAGUGUAUGUGCUGUGUUAGAAUGAAAAGCAUUAAGGCCACUGUAUCCAAUCCCAUUUGAGACGUUAGUAGGAUUUGCAUAUUUUUCUUGAUUUCUAAUUUGAUGUCUACUUUUAUUUUAGGCUUAUUGGGAUAUGCUUAUUAGAUCCAAAUCUCAGUAGAGACACAAAACUAAUUCAUAGAAUUGCAACUCAUUACUGUUUAACUCACUUGAUGUGAUAAUAGAAAUAAAAAAUUAUUAAAUAAAAAAAUUCUUUAUUAUAGAUUACAACUAAUUCAAGUCUUCGUCAAAGUAAUUUUAAGAAAUUAUAAAGAUUUUCACAUUUUGGGAUCAUCAUCAGAAAUUAAAGAUAGCUUUUUUUUUUUAUUUUUUUUCAAAAAAAAGAGAGAUAGGUCAAAAGUAAGAAUUCAUGUCAAAAGUAAGCCGUUUGUGAUGGUAUGACACUUAACAAUGUUAAAGGAAAAACUUCAAGAUGAUAGAAGGAGAAGAAUCAGGAAAUUGCUAGAAAAGUGUCUAAGCAUGUUUUUCCCAUCAUUCCAUUGCAUUUUCAAGUUAAACGCACCUACUAAAAGUUAGAGUAGCAUUGUUUUUUCUUAUAUUUUUGUUUUUACGUAUUUAUUCACCUGAUAAAUAAUUAAAUAAUUUAAAAAUAAAAUUUAUCAAUUUAUGGUAAAUCAAUUUAUUCAUAAAUAUAAUGUUUAAAAUUGAAUCAAUUUACGAACUCAACAGUCAAAAAGAUUGUCUUUGUUUAUAUUUUCAUGCUUUACACACAGUCGUCUUCGGCAACUUUCCCAGCAAUUAUUGAUUACUUCAAGUAUGGGAUAUCCUUUUGCUUUUUGUUCUUUAUUAAUUUCUUUGAUAAUUAUAAGUGUCUUUUUGCUUUUCUUUGGUCUUAAUUAAUUAAUUUACUUGGAAUUCCCAUUACAUGCUUUAGCUUUUCUUUGAUCUUUCAUUAAUAUAUUUACCAUGACUCUUCUUCUGUUAUGACUUGUCUUUUUUAGGUGUUGGGUGUUAAAAUAAUGAAGGGACCUCCAUUACUAUUAUAAGUGAUUAUAUUGGUGCAUUUCAUGUAUAUAUAGUUUUAUGUGCUUGAGAAAGUAAUUUUAGAAAAAAAAAAGUAAGAAUAAUGAGAAUAAAAAUCAAUAAUUUUUUUUCUUUUUUCUCUCAAGAGUUUUUUUUUUUCGAAAAGUGAAUUUAUUAAUAUUAAAACUAUUAUACCAUCUGAAUCCUGUAUAGAAUUGCUAAAGACUUCUGUUGGCAUAUAAUUCUAGCUCGUGCAUCAUCAAGACCCAUGGGAUCUCGUCAUGAAAAUCCUUACAAUUGAUAAUAUUAUAGCAGCAUAUAUGAAACCAUGGAGGACCAAUUAAGAAUUAAUGGAAAAGUGAUGACAGCACUAAAUAAUUUUAUCAUUCUAUGAUAAGGUUACUUUUAUCAAAUUUAAAGUUACUUUUAAAAAGAAAUGUAAAAUGGACAAGAUAGGUAAGCAUCAACCAUUUUGUUUAGUUCACAUCACAGAAAAGCCAAUUUUUUUUUUUCUGGGGAUGUGCAAUGGAACUGUUCCUUUCGAGAACAAGGUAUGAACUACUUACUGUUCCAUAGCUGGUAUUCUGUUUUUUUUCUUCUGGCUGUUCCAAAAAGGUACCUAUUGCUUGAAAUUACUGUCGAAGCAUACUUUAGAAUAUCAAUUGAGGGAAAAAUUGGUCAGAACUUCAUUUUGCAAUGCUUUCCUAUUGCUCCUGCAUGCAUUAGAUCAUAGUUAACACCAUCUUGAUUUGUGUCCCUUUCCAGCUACAAUAUUAAAUAGUUUUUUUUUUAGCUACAAUAUUAAAUAGUUUAUUUUCAAAUGAGAUAAAUAUUAUUAUAUUUAUAAUAAAAAUAUUUUUAAUCAAAGUUAUUCGAUAUAAUUAAAUUUGCAAUAUCUCAUUUUACAUUUGAUGUAAAUGUGAUUGUUAAAAUUUAUAUAACGAUCGGAGUAAAUUACUACUAAUAACUGAAGCUUGAGCUUUUCAUGUGAUUUAGACCUAAAAAGUUACCGAAUCAAUGCUUAGACUUAGAUUAUUAUAAAUAGUAUCAAAGCAUGUGUCAACUUGAUAUGGAUUUUCACAUUACGCUGUGAAAUCUUGAUCUUGUGGAAUGAGCAUUGAUUGUGAUUAUAAUGUGUGCCACAUUUACUGUGAAUGUAAUUCGUAAUUGUUAAGACUUUCAAGUCAAUCAUUAUUAACAACUUAAACUUACCCUUUUGAAAGUCACGUGGGUUAAACCUAAAAUCUACUAAUAUUUUGAAAGUCACAUGGUUUAGACUUAAAAAUUUACUGGACCCACAUUUGAGUUGGAUUUGAAAACUAAUAACAACUUGAGUUUGAGUUUUUAAAGAUUACAUGAUUUAAACAUGAAAAAUUAGUAAAUCCACAUCUUGUGUAAAGAUGAUUGUUAAGACUUAUAUAAGGAUUCAAAUAAACCACUAUUGACAACUUGAGCUUGCCUGAAAAGUUACUGAACUAGUGCUUAUUCAUCCAUUAGAACAAAGUUAAAUCUUAAAAUUAUCAUUCAUUGACAAAAAACCAAGUCAUAUUUCUUUAUCAAAUUAAGCUAUUUUUUUUUUCCAAUUUAUUGUCUGUGUGAAAAUAAAAGGACCCAGGAUUAGUACCAUCACUCUUUCCACAACUUACAUUUCAUGGCACCUUAAUUUGCAGUCACAGAGGAAACGAACAGAGUUGGCAAGGGACCAGUGAGCUCAUUAUGAGAGAGAUCAAGUACUCGCAAUGUGGAGAAGUUUGAUGAAGCUAUGGAAUUGGGCAUGGGACUAUGCAAGCUAUUAUUUCGUAGAAGAAGAACUUGCAGCAUUGGAAGUGAAGCUAACCAAUAGGGAAAGGUAUCAUUGAGCUUGUUGUUCCUUAAAUUCAAAAGUACCAAGAUGCUACAAUUAGCCAAAGAUAGCGGUAGUAAUCCUUCCAAUUGAUUGUCAUUGAGGAGCAGAUAACUCAACCUAUUAUCUGUAAAAAGAUCAGGGAUUUUGCCAUAAAACUUAUUCAUCUCCAAAUUCAUAUACCGGAGAUAGCUGAAAUGUCCAAGACAUUCUGGAAUCGCUCCAUCCAAGUUAUUUCUUGACAAAUCAAGUCUUGUGAGCAAACUCCAAUUACAAAUCAAAGGAAAGAUAUUUCCAGUCAAGUUAUUUUUUGAAAUUAAGAAUUCCGUAAAAGACGGUGGUGGAUUUGGAUUUUGAAGAUUCAACCAAAUUGACAGAAUUGGGCCUCGAAGCAAGUUGGACUGAAGGUCAAGAACUUGAAGGUUCUUUCCAGGAAAUUGCUCCAAAGUGGUCAGAAAGUUGUAAGAAAGGUUCAAUUUGAUCAAUCGUUCCCACCCUUCUGCUUCCCAUUUGGAAAUUCCACCACGAAUCUUGUUAUUGGAAAGAUCUAAAUCCUUCAAGUUUGAUGUUCGAAAGAAACUUGGGAACUGUCUUAUGUUACAAGAAGAGAAUGACACUUUAACAAGCUGAGGGAAGGAGUAGUUCUCACCAUCGCCGCUUGAGCUUAACGAUAGUAAAAUAUUAUUUGAAAGAUCCAGGUACAUAAGAUUUUUGAGUUUUGCAAGCAUGUUUGACUUGAUGACACCAAUCAAGUUGUUUGAUGAAAGAUCAAGCUCUUCAAGGUUCAUAAGAUCAAAAAAAGAACUGGGUAUUGGACCAUGAAUGUCGUUAAAACUCAAAUCGAUAUAAUGGACAGAAUUAGGGGUCUGAAUUUGGUCAAUUGGACCGAUGAGUUUGUUAUAGCUGAGACGUAAAUCUUGCAAAGAUGGCAAAGUAAACGGCCAAGAUGGUACUCCACCACUUAAGAGGUUAUUAGAUAACCACACUUCUUCUAGCAAUAGAAGCUCACUAACAUGAUUUGGCAGGGGACCUUCUAAUCGAUUAUAUGAUAAAUCUAGUUUGGUAAGUUGUGUGAGGUUGAACAUAGUUGUUGGAAGUUGACCACUAAAACUAGAGGAAGAAAAUAACAAAAAAGUCAAUUUAUUAAGGUUUCGAAAAGCAUCUGGAAUUUGUCCUCCAAAAUCAUUAUAAGAAAAAUCUAGGAAGAUGAGUUGAGUGAGAUUGCACAAUGAUGCAGGAAUUGGCCCUUUAAAACGGCAAGAGGUAAGGUCCAACAACUUAAGGCCACUACUCAAGUUUGUCUUUGGGAGAUAACCUGUGACAUUUUGAUUCGAACCUAAAUCUAUGUGCUGGAGGUAUGGAAGGCAAAAUACUUCACUUGGAAAUUCCCCUUGUAGUUGACAGUCUCUGAGACUCAAACGUUCCAGAGAUGAAGUCAAGUUCAGAAAGGAAGGAAGUGCAACAUCAGACAUAUCUACAAAGUUAAGGGUAAGGUUUCUUAAAUUGGUUAAGUUUUGUGCAAGCAUGUUGAAACCUUGGCUAUCAAAUCUCAAGCUGGAAGAAUAAGCAUUCGUGGAAAGAUCGAGUGAAACCAAUUUUGAUAUGAGACUAAUUUCAUAGGGGAUUAAGCCAGAGAAUGAAUUAGAAGAGAGAUUAAGAUGAGUCAAACUCACUAACUGAUUAAAUAACUUCGAUGAGAUAGAGCCAUUGAAAUUGUUGUGAGCAAGGUUGAGUCAUUGGAGUCCUUGAAGGUGGAAGAGGCUGCUGUUUUCAAGAAGAGAGCCAUCAAGUUUGUUGAAAUUGAGGUCGAGUCGUUGGAGUCCUUGAAGGUGGAAGAGACUACUGUUAUCAUGGAGAGUGCCAUAAAGGCAGCUGGUACUGAGGUUGAUGCCAAUGACAUGACCAGUCACCACGUGGCAACUGACUCCAUCCCAUGAACAGCAAUCCAUGCUUUCAUUCCAAGAAUUUGUCCUUGGGUAAUCAUCACAAUAAUCAUCCAGAGAAAUGGUGUUUUUGAAUUCGAGUAAGGCAGCUCUCUGUUCUGGGAGGCAUAAAUGAGCUGAAUCAAGAAAAGAGGAAGGGGUACUCAAUGAACAAUAGACCUGAAAAUGCAAGAGCCCUAAAAGUAGGCAAAGGAUUAGGAGCAACACCUAAAUACCCUUCCCAUAUUUUCUCGAGAAAAAAGGAAAGAAUGAAACAAGGGUUGUCGAAAAGGGGCAAGUGAGGGAGGUGAACUUAAAAAUGAGUUGUGGUUGAGGCUGAGGGACAUGAGAAGUGAACUGCUGGAGAUGUGGGGACAUGAAAGUGUUAGAAUGAAAAGCAUGAUUUUAUCCCAUUAGAGACUUUAGUAGGAUUUGCAUUUUUUUCUUGCAGUCUCAUUCGGUAUGUUUAUUUUAGAGUAAUUGGGAUAUGCUAAUUAGACCCAAAUUUCAUAUUGGGAUAGGCUUAGAAUUGCAACUCAUUACAGCCAGCGUCAUUGUUUUUGUCAGCGUGAUUUUCGAUCUUCAAGUUUCAUUUUGUUCAGAAAAUUAAUCCAAAACUUUCUGUUCAAUUCUCCUAGAAGAGAAUGCAGCCUCAAAAUUGAAAAAAUAAAUAUAUGAAGUUUUUGUUGUAGAUUGCAACAAAGUAAGGUCAUCAGCAAAGCAAGUUUAAGAAAUUGGAAUGACUUUUACAAUUAAAAGUAAGAAAUUAAGCUCAAAAGUAAAAAAUUCACGUCACAUGAAGCAUGUCGACUGUUGUGGUUCUUAUUUGAGGGCAUACAUUCAAAGUCAACCCUCUCAGACAGUCUUCACUCUACAAACUUAAAUUAAUUGUUACAUGGACCCUUACUUCAUAUUAAUCCCUUUUCUUGCCUAUGAAAAAAAAUAUAUAAUUUUUAAAUAUUUAACUCAAUAAUAAAUAUAUAAAACGUAAAUAUAUAUAUAUAUAUAUAUAUAUAUAUAUAUAUAAUAAUUUAUANUCAACAAACUUAAAUUAAUUGUUACAUGGACCCUUACUUCAUGUUAAUCCCUUUUUUUACCUAUGAAAAAAAUAUAUAUAAUUUUUAAAUAUUUAACUCAAUAAUAAAUAUAUAAAACGUAAAUAUAUAUAUAUAUAUAUAUAUAUAUAUAUAUAUAUAUUUAUAGAUUUAAUGCAUUAUGAUGCAACAUGUAACUAAAAAUUAUUAUGAAUUCAUGCAUGCUCACAUGACAACUUUUGAUUACUUAUUACAGCAAGCUGAUACAUGUGAUCAGCACAACCUAUCCAAUAAUUUUGGAUGCUUAUUGUUGUAUGACUCAUGGUAAUGUAAUUAUUAAGCAUUGAAACUAAGAGGAAGCAAUGAAAAGGGAAAUAGUGACAGAAGAUGAAGAGGGCCAAUUCAUGAAGAAAUAUCAAACGAGAUGGGCAAAGUGCCGUGUUAGAAAUGAAAGGCAUGAAGAGUGUUGACUUUGUCUGCAUACAUGUUAAAAUCGUACCAUAAAUUCUUUGUCUGCAUUGGCCCUUAACAACUUGAGCAAAGAGUCAUUGAAGAACUUUCGAGAGUGAAGAGUGAAGACUGCGCCCACUCUUUUGAGAAAAAAACUAUCAUUGAAUGACUUUUAAUAGGUCAUUCAAUGUGUGCCCUUCAAUGUAUUUAAGUAUUUAAUUUAAUAAGAGAAAUGGUGUAAGCGUGACGUUACUGCAUCAAAUUGAAAAUGGAAGGCCAAGUAUAACACUGUUUGUACGGGAGUAGAAAAUGUCAACCCAGCCCCACCCAUCAAAAGUGAGUUAGAAUAGGGUUGAUGAUAAUACACCCAAUACAACAUAUAUAAAUAUAACAUUUUCUUAAUAUAAUACAAGCACAAUUAUUUAUUUUUGGAUAAUGGAUGUUGACGUAGAAUAUAAUUUUGAAUUUAAUUCAUAUUUGGAUUUAGGUGGAUUAUUUGAAAAUUAAAAUAAGAUAAAUUGAGAAGCCAUUAAGACUCAAUAUGAUUUGAAUUAUACCUCAACAGUUAUGUCAAAAUGAUUGUGAUUAGUUUUUUCAUUGUUUUUGAGAGAAAGAAAGUUGCUGUUGAAGCCAAGGGAAGUAGAUAGAAUCUCACACAUUUUACUUGUGCGUUUUUGUUUUGAAAGGGUGUACACUUGACUUGUUUGGAGACUAUUUUAUAUGUAUGUUUCAUUAAGUGAAUUAAAUGUUUUGUUCCAUUAUUUUUUGUAUAUGAAAAUAGAGUUAAGCAUAUGAUUGUUUUUUUAUUUUGAUUUAUUCAUGUGAUCAAAUAUUGAUUCAUAAUGAGAUAUGAAAUAUUUUGUUAUGUUGUAAAGUUUUAAGAGCUACAUUAAUUCUUGAGAAGUACGAUAAUCAACACUAGAACUAAUUCUACGAUCUUGAUAAUGAGUUAAAAUAAUUAGCAUAUGACCCAAUAACAGAAUAUAAUAAGCUAGCAAACAAUCCCACUAGUGGGUUAUAAUAGUUAACAUAUGACAUAGAACAUGAUUUUAAAUUAAAUUCAUAUUUGAAUUUUGAUGGAUUAUUUGAAAAAUAAAACGAAAUAAAUUGAGAAGCCAUUAAGACUGCGAGUGCAUACACUUUAUAUAUUACUUAAUUACUCAAGUGCAACGAUUAGGAUUUAAAUUCAAGUCUUGCAAAUUGCAACGUUUAGAUUCUCAUAUUACCCAUUCAGAUACUCAAUGAACACCCGAAUUCUCCAAACCACUGCCAUGGGAAAUCAUUGAGCCAGAUGCUAGAGAAGCAGGGUCCAUCGGAUUCGGUUCAAAAGCCACCUUGACAAUUAGAAAAAAAAAAAACAAAGGAAAAAUCAAUCGUAGAUUACAAAAGCAAUGAGAACUUCGCUGUAAUUCUACUUUGGCAAAAAAACUCACCUAUGCAUGAUCUGGAUGUAGUGCUAGUUUCUUCCUCCCCUGUUUUUGCGAAUCCACUUUGUAACAGUGUUUUGCCAAUCUCUCUCAACCAUUCUGACAAACCACCAUGGUCUUCCUGUUGUGAAUACAAUGUAUCCCAUGCUCAAUCCUAACACCACUCCACAUCCAUAGCCCAUCAUUACAACUUUCCAAAUAAAGGCCAAUUCAGAACCUUCAUCUUCCUCCAGCAUUGGUACCGGUGGUUUCGGUUCCUCCUCAUUGCCGCAUUUCUUCGACAACGGGAAGCCACACAAUCCCAAGUUACCGCUAUAAGAAUCAUUCUCAAAAGUAUCAAAUUGCUUCCCCUUUGGAAUUGGUCCAACAAGAUCAUUUUGUGAAAGAUUUAACACUUCAAGGAAUGUCAGAUUCGUCAAUUGAGAAGGAAUUCUGCCAUCAAGCCUGUUUGACGAGAGAUCUAACGAUUCAAGUGCUAUCAUAUUUCCAAUAGAUGGUGAGAUAGGACCAGUCAAGUUGUUGUUAGACAAAUUGAGUCCUUGAAGCGAAAUAAGUUCUCCGAGUUCUUCAGGAAUUUGUCCACAGAAUAGAUUAUUCGAAAAGUCCAUAAAUGUGUAAAUGGCAAAGGUUUUCACCAACUCAAUCUCCAAUCUUUUCGUUGUUACAUUUACUGAGUAAUAGUUAUUAAAUAAGAUAACAACAUCUCUAGUUUCGUAUCUCACGAAUCGCCAAGGUCUCUCUUCAGGUAUAUCUUUCAUUGCUCUUAAAUUUUGGAAGAAUUUUGCUGGCAAGGGACCGGUGAGCUCAUUAUGAGACAGAUCAAUUAUUUGCAAUGCAGAGAAGUUAGAUGAAGCUAAGGAAUUGGGCAUGGGACCAUGCAAUCUAUUAUUUCGCAAAAGAAGAACUUGCAGAUUUGGAAGUGAAGCUAACCAAUGGGGAAAGGUAUCAGUGAACUUGUUGUUCCUUAAAUUCAAAAGUUUCAAGGAACUACAAUCAGCCAAAGACCGCGACAAUAAUCCUUCCAAUUUAUUGUCAUUGAGGAGAAGAACUCGCAAGCUACUACCUCCAAAAGAAUCAGGCAUUUUGCCUUGAAAAUUAUUCAUCUCCAAAUUCAGUACCAUGAGAGAAGGGCUGAGAUUUCCAAAACAUUCUGGAAUGGUUCCGCUCAAGUUAUUUCUAGACAAGUCAAGAAUGAAAAGUGAACUCCAAUUGCAAAUCAAAAGAGGGAUGUUUCCGGUUAAUUUAUUCUUUGAAACGUAGAAUGCCAUCAAGUUGUUUGGACUUUGAUUUUUCAAGCAAGUUGAUAGAAUUGGCCCUUGGAGCAAGUUUGACCGAAGGUCAAGAGCUAUAAGAUUCAUUCCUGGAAAUUGCUCCAAAUUGGUCAAAGCGUUGUUAGAAAGGUCCAACUCGAGCAAGCUUUCCCACCCUUCUGCUUCCCAUUUGGAAAUUCCACCACAAAUCUUGUUAUUGGAAAGAUCUAAUCUCUCCAAAUUUGAUGUUCGGAAGAAACUUGGGAAUUGUGUUAUGCUACAAGAAGAAAAUGACACACUAACAAGCUGAGGGAAGGAAUAGUUAACAUCAUUUUCACUUGCGCUUAAUGAUAGUAAACUAUUUUUUGAAAGAUCAAGAUGCGUAAGAUUUUUGAGUUUUGCAAGCAUAUUUGACUUGAUGACACCACUCAAGUUGUUUGAGGAAAGAUCAAGCGUUUCAAGGCUCACAAGAUCAAAAAAAGAAUUCGGUAUUGAUCCAUGAAUGUCAUUGGAACUCAAAUAAAUAUAUUCCAGAGAAUUAGGCUUCUGAAUUUGGUCAAUUGGACCGGUGAGUUUGUUAUAGCUGAGAUCUAACCCUUUCAAAGAUGGCAAAGUAAACAGCCAAGAUGGUACUCCACCACUUAUAAGGUUAUUAGAUAACCAAAAUCUUUCUAGCAAUUGAAGCCCACUAACAUGACUUGGCAGGGGACCUUCUAAUCGAUUAUUUGACAAAUCUAGUAGGUUAAGUUGUGUGAGGUUGAACAUAGUUGUUGGAAGUUGACCACUAAAUUUGCAGGAAUCAAAUUUCAAAGUAGUUAAUUUGUUAAGGUUUCCAAAAGCAUCUGGAAUCUGUCCUCCAAAAUCAUUUCCAGAAAAAUCUAGGAGGAUGAUUUGAGUGAGAUUUCCAAUUGAUGCAGGAAUUGACCCCCUAAAACUGCAUAAGGAAAGGUCCAACAACUUAAGGCCACUACUCAAGUUUGUCUUAGGGAAAUCACCACUGAGAUUUUCAUUAUUCAAACUUAAAUCUAUGUGCUGGAGGUAUGGAAGGCGAAAAAUUUCACUUGGAAAUUCCCCAUGCAGUUCACAAUCACUAAGAAUCAAACGUUCCAGAGAUGAAGUCAAGUUCAAAAAGGAAGGAAGUGCAACAUCAGACAUAUCUACAAAGUCAAGGAUAAGGUUUCUUAAUUCAGUUAAGUUGCAUGCAAGCAUGUCAAACCCUUGACUAUCAAAUCUCAACUUGUGAAAACCAUUAUUGGAAAGAUCGAGUGAAACCAAUUUUGACAGGAGACUGAUUUCAUAUGGGAUUAAGUCAGAGAAUGAAUUAUGGGAGAGAUUAAGAUGGGUCAAACUCACUAAUUGAUUAAAUAACUCUGAUGAGAUAGAGCCAUUGAAAUCGUUAAAAGCAAGGUUGAGUUGUUGGAGUCCUUGAAGGUGGAAGAGGCUGCUGUUUGCAGGGAGAGUACCGUUAAGGCAGCUGGCACUGAGGUCGAUGGCAAUGACCUGACCCGUCACCAUGUGGCAACUGACUCCAUCCCAUGAACAACAAUCCGUGCUUUCAUUCCAAGAAUUUGUCGUAGGGUAAGAAGAAGCUAGCCAACAAUCAUCCAGAGAAAUGGUGUUUUUGAAUUCGAGCAAGGCAGCUCUUUGUUCUGGGAGGCAUAAAUGAGCUGAAUCAAGAAAAGAGGAAGGGGAACUCAAUGAACAAUGGACGUGGAAAUGCAAGAGUGCUAAAAGCAGGCAAAGGAUUCGAAAAAACAUCUUAACUACCUUUCCCAUAUUUUCUAGAGAAAAAGGAAGUUAUGAAACAAGGGUAGUCGAAAAAGGGCAAGCUAGGGAGGUGAAACUGAAAAUGAGUUGGGGUUGAGGUCGAGGGACAUUUUAAAUGAAGUACCUGAGAAGUGGAGACAUCUCCUUUUCAAGUCAACCAACAAGUCUUUGCAAAAUCUCUUAAAUUGUCAAAAUUAAAUUAAAAGGAAAAAAAAGAAAAAUUGUAUGUGCCGUGUUAGAAUGAAAAGCAUUAAGGCCACUGUGUCCAAUCCCACCUGAGACGUUAAUAGGAUUUGCAUAUUUUUCUUGAUUUCUCAUUUGAUGUAUACUUUUAUUUUAUGCUCUUUGGGAUAUGCUUAUUAGAUUCAAAUCUCAGUAGAGACACAAAACUAAUUCAUCUUAGAAUUGCAACUCAUUCCUGUAUAACUCACUUGAUGUGAUAAUAAAUAAAAAAUUAUUAAAUAAAGGAAUUCUUUAUUGUAGAUUACAGCUAAUUCAUGUCUUUGUCAAAGAAAUUAUAAAAAUUUUCACAUUUUGGGAUCAUCAUCAGAAGUUAAAGAUAACUUUUUCUUUUCAUUUUUUUUCCAAAAAAAAGAGAGAUAGGUCAAAAGUAAGAAUUCAUGUCAAAAAGCAAGCCGUGUGUGAGGGUAUGGCACUAAACAAUGUUAAAGAAAAAGCUUCAAGAUGAUAGGAGAGGAAUCAGGAAAUUGCUGGAAAAGUGUCUAAGCAUGUUUUUCCCAUCCUUCCAUUGCAUUUUCAAGUUAAAAGCAUCUACUAAAAGUUAAAGUAGCAUUAUAUUUCCUUAUAUUUUUGGUUUUACGUAUUUAACUCACCUGAUAAAAAAUUAAAUAAUUUAAAAUAAAAUUUAUCAAUUUAUGAUAAGUCAAUUUAUUCAUAAAUACAAUGUUCAAAAUUGAAUGAAUUUACGAUACUUCGACCAAUGAUAUAAAACAAACAAAAAGUAAGAAUUAUACAAAAACAAAAUUAAAUAUUAUUUUGAAAACAAUCCAAAAAAUCGUAACGUGAACUUAUUAUUUUUAUAUACAUCGUCAAUGAAAUUUUGAAACUCUAAAGUUAAAGUUAGAAAGUUGCCAUGUAUCACAUUAAGUAUAUUAAUUUAAUUAAUGAAUUAAUAUAAUAAAUAAAAACAACAUAUGAAAAUAUUCUUAACUUUUUUUUUGUUAAAUUUAAGAACUCAACAGAGAGAUAAUAUAUGGUCAAAAACAUAGUCUUUGUUUACAUUUUCAUGCUUUAUACACAGUUAGUCUUCGGCAACUUUCCCAGCAAUUAUUGAUUACUUCAAGUAUGGGAUACCCUUUGCUUUUUGUUCUUUAUUAAUUUCUUUGAUAAUUAUAUGUAUCCUUUUGCUUUUCUUUGGUCUUAAUUAAUGAAUUUACUUGGAAUUCCCAUUACAUGCUUUAGCUUUUGUUUCAUCUUUAAUUAAUAUAUUUACCAUGACUCUUCAUCUGUUAUGACUUCUCUUUUUUUGGUGUUGGGUGUUUAAUUAAUAUACAGUUUUAUGUGUUUGAGAUAGUAAUUUUAGAAAAAACAAAAAAAACAUGAUAAUAAUGAGAAUAAAAAUAAAUAAUUUAUUUUUUCUUUUAUCUCUCAAGAGCUUUUUUUUUUUUCGAAAAGUGAUUUUAUUAGCAUUAAAACUAAUAUACUAUCUGAAGUCUCUAUAGAAUUGCUAAAGACUUCUGUUGGCAUCGAAUUCUAAGUCGCGCAUCAUCAAUAACUACGGGAUUUCCUCAAGAAAAUCCUUACAAUUGAUAAUAUUAUAGCAGCGCAUAUAAAACCAUGGAGGACAAAUUAGGAAUUAAUGGAAAAGUGAUGGCAGCACUAAAGCCAUAACUGGUAUUCUAUUUUUUUUCUUCUAGCUGUUCCAACAAGGUACUUUAUUUUUAAUAAUUCAAAAUUUAAUUAUUGGUUAUCUAAUUUAUCUUUAAAUAAAUCAAAGUAAUUUAGAGGUAAUAUUCAUAUUUUUGACCAAUCAAAAUUUAAGUAUUGAUCAUUUAAUUUAUCUCUAAUAAUUAUACUAAUUUAGAGAUAAAAAUCAAAUUGAAUUAUUUAAUUUAUCUCUAAACAAAUUAAGAUAAUUUAGAGAUAAUACAUAACUUCGGCCAAUUAAAAUUCAAAGACUCAAAGUACGGCCAAUCAAAAGACUUUCAAUGAGUCAUCAUAAUUUAUCUCUAAAUAAAUUAAAAUAAUUUAGAGAUAAUUUAAAGAAACUACAUUCUCAUCAAAGUCUCCCACCUAGCAUUAUAACUAGGAGCUCCUCCAAGCCAUUUUGAUUCAUUUAGAAGCAUUUGAAGAUCCGGAGGCAUUCGAAGAUUGAGUGCAUUUCGGAGAUCGAGAAGAGUAGAAGAUUUUUGUAGUGAAGAUCAAGUAGCAGCAAAGUUCGUGAUCAAGAUCAAGCGGCAACAAAUUUCGUGAUCAAGCAGUAGCGAAGUUCGUGAUCAAGAUAUCAAGUGAAGUUUGUAAUCAAGAUUAAGUAGUGAAGACCCUUGAAGCAAAGAUAUCAAGUGUUCGUGAUCAAAAUUAAGUCGUUAAGACCCUUGAAGCAAAGAUCAAACGAAACUCAUGAUCAAAAUCAAGUCAUCAAGUGAAGGUCAUGAUCCAGAUUAAGUCAUUAAGACCUUUGAAACGAAGAUCAAGUGAAGUUCGUGAUCAAGGUAUCAAGUGUUUGUGAGAUUAAGUUGUUAAGACCCUUGAAGUGAAGAUCAAGUGAAAUUCGUGAUCAAGAUCAAGUCAUCAAGCGAAGUUCGUGAUUAAGAUAUCAAGUUCUCGUGAUCAAGAUCAAGUCAUCAAUUGUCAUGACUCGGUACUUUCUUCGAACCCGUGACAACUGCUGCGAUGUCCCGAUAGACAAACCUUACCCGGAAUGUCAAUAGAAACCUCGCAAGGCUCUAGCAUCAGUUUUUCACCUCCCCUGUGAGCAACAGUUACUAAAUAUUAUGUUUUAAAGGAAUAUAGACGAUUUUCAAAUCAAAGACAAUCAAAAAGUAAUUUCUACAGCACAGGGGUAUUUUGAUCAUUUUACCUAAAAAUUUCGAAAUCUGCUAAAAAUAUAGUAUAUUAAUGAAAAAUAUACAUUUCAUAUAUAUAUAAAAUAUAUCUAGGUGUCUAAAUCAUCUUUUUAAAGUGAAUUUAUAACUAAUAGAACUAAAUAAAAAUAUUAGAUAAAAUAUUCUAUUUUCAUAUAAAACAAUAUUUAUAAAAUUCUACGUAAACAAUUACUGUAGCGUAGUAACAAAAUAAAUUCAUAUACAUAAUAACACAUAGCACCAGGGUAUACAAAAAUAUUUUACAAUGCCAUAUGAGCCCCUAAAAUAACAAAAAUAAAUAGGACUGUAGACCUACGAUUUCUAAGAGUGAAAAACCAAAAGCAAACCCUCGACAAAAUCGACUGUUUACAAACUGCUCUGAAUCUGAAAUGGGUGAAAAGAAGAGGGUGAGUUUUUAUAAACCCAGUGAGUAAGCAAAGUUCAUCUAUAACAUCUAAAGCCGAGUAAAUGGAGACAAUUAAAACAUCUCUUCAUAAUAUAAUUCAUAACAUUAAAACUCAUUUCAACCAUAUAAAACAAUUACAUUUCAUCAAAAAUAAUCAGCAAGGCUUAUGACUCUCUUAAAAAUUGGCUCGUGCCAAAACUCGUACUCGAUGACACCUUGAGCCAGGCAUCCAACUGAGUUCGCCAAGGCUGUUAAAAUAACAUAUACACAUAAAACAUGUUUUUAUGUUUAGAAACAUAGCCGUUCCUUGGCUUUGGUUGAGUUUCACCCUCACGUGAUGGUUCGGGGUGAAGUGAACUGUAAACUACCUUAGAAGAUACCCUCCGCGCCUCUCAUACCAAGGUAAAAUAUAACGAGAUUUAUCGUGCCCCUCUAAUAGGUAGGUCCAUGAAAACCCGUCUACUGUAGUAAGCUAAUCACUUACCCCACCAAAUCAAUAAAAAUUUCGGCAGUAUGACAUGGCUAAUAUGAUAUUACCUAGCCUGUCAAGGUAAAACCAAACAGUUCAUAUAUUCCACACAAACACAAAUCCAGCCAUUCAUACCGUCACAUUGUCAUAAGCCAUUAAUUCAAACCAUAUAUCAAACACGAGUAUAUAGUCUCCACUUACUCAAUUUCCAAAACUAGUAUUCAAUUUCAAACCAAGUUAUAAAUCUCUUUUCGUUUAACCAACACUUCAAUUUUAAAACAUAAUAAUUUACCAUUUAAACUCAUUAUUCUUUAAAACAUAAAAACGAGUAGAAACAACUUUAGAUAGUUAAGAUGAUCGUCUGUUUACUCACUAUAAUGGGAGUACUCCUACUCCUGGUCCUCGAGUACGAUAUCCUUACUCUUACUAGAGGGCUCACCACCUAUACAUAAUGCACAACAAGUAAUUCAAUACACUUGUACCAAACUGUUAUAAGAUUAUUUCAGGCUCUUUAUGAAUGCAUGUAAUUGAAUGAGAAGUGUUCGAAUAAUCACUUAAAUAUGGUGUUCUACGUAGGUUCAAUUGUUGUUGGAUUGAAAUGGUAUUCGACCUAACUCCCACUAUACACUGUUUAAUUAGCCAAAAUGUCCAAUUCAACUCCAAAUAGAUUCAUUGCACUUUCGGUGCUCCAAUAAGUCUGUAUACCUCAUUAGAAAUCAAUUCUAAGUCCAUUUACUAUAAAUUUCACAUUAUCGUUCAAGUCGUUUACUAAAAGAACUAUACUUUUCAAUAACUGUUUUCGAUAUCCAACAUCACGAAUCAUCAAAUACGAGUUAGAUAACAUGAAAUAUGACAAAAUUCAUCUUCAAAAUAUUUUCUAUAGAAUUCGGCCAAUUAGGGUUUGAUGAAGAGCAUGUUAUUUUCUUACUUAUUUUUCAUACCGAAUAUCACAAAACACUAAAACGCCUAGAUAACAUGAGAUCUAGCAAAACCCAUUCUCAAAACCUUNUCCUUAGGGUUUUUCUAUUAUUUCCCCCUUUGUUCUUUGGCUUGAACCGCAAUGAGAGAGUGAAUGGGAGAGUUUAUGUUGAGUUUAUAAAGGAAAUUAUAAAAUAAUAAAAACUUGACACAUGGCAACAUAUAAUUGGUUCACAUUUAAAACUUAACUAAUAAGGCUUUUCCUUUCCACCACAUAUAAUCCCAUAAUUAUCCAAAGUAUAAAAUGAUAAUAGGUGAAAUUCAUGGGCUUGACAAGUGUCAUGGUGGUGUAAAAUUUCAAAAAUUCCAAUUACGUCAUUGUGGACACUUAAAAUGAUCGUUUUGCCCUUAUGCUCAGAAAUUGAAAUUUUUCACUUCUCAAAUUCAAAUUAUGUUCCAACUAGUCAAAAUUGGUUAAAUAUCUUGUCCAACAUUCCAAUUUUUGCCCUUGGGUGGCAAAAUGACCAUUUUGCCCUUACGUUAUAAAAAUUCUCGAUUGGACUCCAAAUCAAUCCUCGAACUCCAAAUCACUAUAUUAAGACAUUUUAAGGUUCAAUAAUUCUCAAAUACAUCCUAAAUCUCUAUUUGGACUAGUUCGAGGCUUUAAUCAACUUAAUUGUACCACUAGGUACGAUACUGACUUUUAACAAUUUUUCGAGGCAUCUAAGUAUGCAGACAUGCUAUCAAGUACAUGAAUGACAUGACAAGUAUAUUAUAGAGCUGGACUUGACAUCAAUAACCCCGAAGCAAAGAUAUCAAGUGUUCGAUAAAGUUGUUAAGACCCUUGAAGCGAACAUUAAGCGAAGUUCAUGAUCAAGAUAUCAAGUGUUUGUGAUCAAGAUCAAGUCAUCAAGGCCCUUGAAUUGAAAAUCAAGCGAAGUUCAUGAUCAAGAUUAUGUCUGAGUCCGUGACUCUCAAAGACAAAGUGGAGAAAUUAAUUAGAGGAAUUUUCAGAGAUUAUAACUCGCAUCAUCAAAUAUUUGUAUUUGUCUCCUAAUUUUCAAGUCAAGAAAUUUUGAUGAGCAAUUUUUGUGUACAAAUAGAAAGGAGAGGAACUAGGAAAUUGCUGGAAAACUUUAUAAGCAUGUUUAUCUUAUCCUUCCAUUGCAUUUUCAAGUUAAAAAGCACCUACUAAAAGUAAAGAGUAACAUUAUUUUUCCUUAUUCUUUUUUUUUACUAUUUAACUCAUCUGAUAAAAAAUUAAAUUAUUUAAAAAUAAGAUUUAUAAAAUUAUGAUAAAUCAAAUAAUUCAUAAAUAUAAUAUUCAACAUUGAAUCAAUUUAUGAUACUUCGAUCCAAGGUAUAAAAAAAAACAAAAAAAAAGAAUAAUACAAAAACAAAAUUGAAUAUUGUUUUGAAAACAAUCCAAAAAAUUGUAACGUGAACUUUGAAACAAAAAACAAGAAUAAAAUUGAUCAUGUAAGUGACAAUUCAACUAUAGAAACUAUUAAGUCAAAAGGAAGAUGAAAAACAAAUCAUUGCUCCUUACCUCUCUUAUAAUUAUCAGUAUUUAUUUUCAUGUGUGUUAUAUAUAAAAUUGUUUAAAUUUCAUGAUGUGGAAGAUGAGAUUUUUUUUCUUAAUUGGCAUAUAAACACUGAAUUUUAAUAAUCUUGUAAUACAAUCUAAUGAAAAAAAACUAGAAAAUAUGAGAUUCUUUUUGGUUUUUUACAAAGAAAUUAUGAUAUUUUUGUUGGUCAUAUAUUCCAAAAUGAAUUAUUAACAGCAAAAACAAAAAGGUAUAUUGAAAGAAUGAAAUUUGAAAAGCCAAAAAAUAUAACAAAAGGAAGCAUUAUAGGUUUAAUAUAUUUGUUAUCCUUAAUAAAGCCUUAAGAAUAAUAAGAUAAAGAAGAGAAGGUAGAUUUAAAUAUAAUAUAUAAACAUAUGAAAAUAUUCUAACUUUUUUUGUUAAAUUUAAGAACUCAACAGGGGAUAAUAUCUAGUCCAAAAAAGAUAGACUUUGUUUACAUUGUCAUGCUCUAUACACAGUUAGUCUUCGGCAACUUUCCUAGCAAUUACUGAUUACUUCAAAUGUGGGAUAUCCUUUUGCUUUUCUUUGGUCUUAAUUAAUUAAUUUACUUGGAAUUCCCAUUACAUGUUUUAGCUUUUGUUUGGUCUUAAUUAAUAUAUUUACCAUGACUCUUCAGCUGAUAUGACUUCUCUUUUUUAGGUGUUGGGUGUUAAAACAAUGAAGGAACCUCCUUCCCACUAAUUGGGUCCUAAUAAUUCAAGCUUUUUUACUAUCGCAAAUAAUUAUUAAUAAAUUAAUAUAAUAAAUAAAACAAUAUAUGAAAAUAUUCUAACUUUUUUUAUUAAAUUUAAGAACUCAACAGGGGGAUAAUAUUUAGUCAAAAAGAUAGUCUUUGUUUACAUUUUCAUGCUUUAUAUACAGUUAGUCUUCGGCAACAUUCCCAGCAAUAACUGAUUACUUCAAGUAUUGGAUAUCCUUUUGCUUUUUAUUUCUUUUAUUCCUUUGAUAAUGAUAUGUAUGCUUUUGCUUUUCUUUGGUCUUAAUUAAUUAAUUUACUUCGAAUUCCCAUUCUAUGCUUUAGCUUUUGUUUGGUCUUAAUUAAUAUAUUUACCACGACUCUUCAGCUGAUGACUUAUCUUAAUAAUGAAGGGACCUCCUUUGCCACUAAUUGGGUCCCUAAUAAUUCAAGCUUUUUUACUAUAUAUCACUAAUAAUUAUUUUAAGGAUUAAUUUUUCUAAUAAUUUAAUGGUUAUGAAUAAACCAAGACCAAGACCAAGGCAUGAUUUAUGACUUGAAAUUUCUUAAGCGUGACUACUUGUAUGGCUAGUUUCUUCGUCUUCCAUUACUAUAUUAUAGGUGAUUAUCUAGGUGCAUUACAUGUAUAGUUUUAUGUGUUUGAGAAAGUAAUUCUAGAAAAAAAAAGGAUUAAAUGUUUAAUUUGGGAUCAAAAUUUUUGGGUUUUUAUCAAUUUAAGGUCAAAUAUUUCCAUUGUAAUAAUUAUGGACCAAGCGUUUUUAGAUCCUUACAAUUAAAGAUUAAGGUGAGAAGUGUCUGGCACAUGUAAGACUUACGUAUGACGUGGACGUUGACUUGGAUUUUUACCUCUAAGGUAAUCUACAAUGGGUGCUAAUGGUGACGUCGAAGACUCGUUUGUCCAUGGGAACAACAAGCGAACCUUCAAGGUUCUCGUACCGUAUGAAAUCCAUCUGCAACAUAAAACAUUAACAUGCAUGUAUAAGUUACACGUCAUGAACACCAAACCCGCAGAAGCAAUUUACGAAAAACAUUAGAGUUGUUACACUCCAUGCUCAUUUUGUCUUCAAAUGUUACAUGCCUGGUUAACAACUUUUGACCCAAAUAGGCAUGACUUGUAACUACUCUUCCCAUUGACACAAAAAAGGUAUGAUCAAACAUCAAAGCCCAUAUGACAUUCAAACAACAAAACUCACUUAAAAACACAACAAAAAAUUCAACAAUUUAUCAAUCAAAAAAUUCAAACAACAAAACCCACUCAACAAUGUUAGCAGGAUUUGCAUAUUUUUUAUGAUUUCUUAUUUGCUGUCUACUUUUAUUUUAGGCUUAUUGGGAUAUGCUUAUUAGAUCCAAAUCUCAGUAGAGACACAAAACUAAUUCAUUUUAGAAUUGCAACUCAUUACUAUUUAACUCACUUGAUGCAAUAAUAAAAAUAAAAAGUUAUUGAAUAAAGGAAUUCUUUGUUGUAGAUUACAGCCAAUUCAGGCCUUCGUCAAAGUAACUUUAAGAAAUUAUAAGAUUUUUACAUUUUGAAAUCAUCAUCAGAAAUUAAAGAUAACUUUUUAUUUUUAUUUUUUUCUAAAAAAAAAGAGAGAUAGGCUAAAAGUAAGAAUUCAUGUCAAACAGCAAGCUGUGUGUGAGGGUAUGGCCCUAAACAAUGUUAAAGGAAAAGCUUCAAGAUGAUAGAAGGAGAGGAAUCAGGAAAUUGCAGGAAAAGUGUCUAAGCAUGUUUUUCCCAUCCUUCCAUUGCAUUUUCAAGUUAAAAGCUUCUACUAAAAGUUAGAGUAGCAUUAUUUUUCCUUAUAUUUUUGGGUUUACGUAUUUAACUCACUUGAUAAAAAAUUAAAUAAUUUAAAAUAAAAUUUAUAAAUUUAUGAUAAGUCAAUUUAUUCGUAAAUAAAAUGUUCAAAUUGAAUGAAUUUACGAUACUUCGAUCGAUGCUAUAAAACAAAUGAAAAAUAAGUAUUAUACAAAAACAAAAUUGAAUAUUAUUUUGAAAACAAUCCAAAUAAUCGUAACAUGAACUUUUAAAUAAAAGAGUAAUAAAAUUGAUCAUUUAAGUGACAAUUCAAUUAUGACUACUAUCAAGUCAAAAGGAGGAUGAAAAACAAUUUAUUGCUUCUUAGAUCUCUUAUAAUUAUUAGUAUUUUUUAUUACAUGUGUUAUACAUAAAAUUCUUUAAAUUUCAUGAUGUAGGAUAUUAGAUUUUUUUUCUUAAUUGGCAUAUAAACACUGAACUUUAAUAAUCUUGAAAUACAAUCUAAUGAAAAAAAAUUAGAAAACAUGAGAGUCUUUUUGGCUUUUUUACAAAGAAAUUAUGAUAUUUUUGUUGGUCAUAUAUUCUCAAAAGAAUUAUUAACAGCAAAAUAUAUAUAUAUAUAUAUAUAUAUAUAUAUAUAUAUAUUGAAAGAAUGAAAUUUGAAAAGCCAAAUUAAAAAUAUAACAAAAGGAAGCAUUAUAGGCUCAAUAUAUUUGUUAUCUUUAAUAAAGGCUUAAGGGUAAUAAAAUAAAGAAGAGAAGGUAGAUUUAAAAAUUAUUUUUAAGUAUCAUAUUUAAGUAUAUUAAUUUAAUUAAUAAAUUAAUAUAAUAAAUAAAACAACAAACGAAAAUAUUCUAACUUGUUUUAUUAAAUUUAAGAAAUCAACAGGGGAUAAUAUAUAGUCAAAAAGAUUGUCUUUGUUUAUGUUUUCAUGCUUUAUACACAGUUAGUCUUCGGCAACUUUCCCAGCAAUUAUUGGUUACUUCAAGUAUGGGAUAUCCUUUUGCUUUUUGUUCUUUAUUAAUUUCUUUGAUAAUUAUAAGUAUCCUUUUGCUUUUCUUUGGUCUUAAUUAAUUAAUUUACUUGGAAUUCCCAUUACGUGCUUUAGCUUUUGUUUGAUCUUUAAUUAAUAUAUUUACCAUGACUCUUCAUCUGUUAUGACUUCUCUUUUUAAGGUGUUGGGUGUUAAAAUAAUGACCAUUACUAUUAUAAGUGAUUAUAGGUGCAUUACAUGUAUAUAUAGUUUUAUGUGUUUGAGAAAGUAAUUUUAGCAAAAAAAACAUAAUAAUAAUAAGAAUAAAAAUAAAUAUUUUCUUUUUUCUUUUUUCUCUCAAGAGCAUUUUUUAAAAAAAAAGUGAUUUUAUAAGCGUUAAAACUAAUAUACCAUCCGAAGUCUCUAUAGAAUUGCUAAAGAUUUCUGUUGGCAUAUAAUUCUAACUCAUGCAUUAUCAAGACUUAUGGGAUCUCCUCAUGAAAAUCCUUACAAUUGAUAAUAUUAUAGCAGCAUAUAUAAAACCAUGGAGGACCAAUUAGGAAUUAAUGGAAAAGUGAUGACAGCAAUAAAUAAUUUUAUCAUCCUAUGAUAAGGUUGCUAUAUGUAUCUUUUAUCAAAUCUAAAAUUACUUUUAAAAGGAAAUGUAAAAUGGGCAAAGUAAUGUCUUGUCAUAUAGGAAAGCAUCAACCAUGUUGUCUAGUUCACACCUCAGAAAAGCCAAUUUUUUUUUUUGUUUUUGGGUGCAACUGCAACUGUUCCUUUCAAAGAACAAGAUAUGAACUACUUAUUGUUCCAUUACUGGUAUUCUAUUUUUUUACUUCCAGCUGCUCCAAAAAGGUACUUAUUGCUUGAAAUUACUGUCGAAGCAUACUUUAGAAUACCAGUUGAGUGAAAAAUUAGUCAGAACUUCAUUUUGCAAUGCUUUGCAAUUGCUCCUGCAUCAUAUCAUAGAUAACACCAUCUUGAUUGGUGUCUCGAUCCAGCUACAAUAUUAAGUAGCUUAUUUUCAAAUGAGAUAAAUAGUACUAUAUUUAUAAUAAAAAUAUUUUUAAUCAAAAUUAUUUGAUAUAAUUAAAUUUAUUAUACCUCAUUUUAUAUUUAUUGUAAAUGUCAUUGUUAAGAUUUAUAUAACGAUCCAAGUUAAUUACUACUAACUUAAGCUUGAACUUUUGAAAACCACGUGAUUUAGACCUAAAAGUUAUUAGAUUAAUGCUUGGACUUAAAUAAUUACAAAAAGUAUCAAAGCAUGUGUCAACCCGAUAUAGACUUUCACAUUGUGCUGGUGAGAUCUUGAUCCUAUGAAAUGAGUAGACCUGACAAUUCGUGUUAAAGUAUCGUAAACGUGUCAGAUACGAUUAGACACGAAACACGUUAAGGCUAAACAUGAACACGACACAUUUAAUAUUCAUGUCUUAAAUUUAAAACACGUACACAUACAUGUUUAAUACAUGUGUAACAUGACACGACACGAUUAUCACGUUUAUUAAACGUGUCAAUAUAUGACACGACACGAUUAAUAACACGUUGAACACGUUUAACACGAUUAAAUAAAAAUAUUUACAAUUAAAUAUAAUUUUAUUAUUUAAAUUUAAAAUCUAUAAUUAUAAAAAUAAUUAUAAUAAACAAAAAUAAUAAUAACAUCAAAUAAUCACAAAAAGUUAAAAUUAAGGUUGAACAUGUAUAAUUACAUUAUAUUCUUUAUAAAAUUAAAAAAACUUAUUAAAAUAAUUAUUUAAAAUUAUUUAUAUAAGGUUAAAAUAAUUUUUAACUAUUAAUUUUUAUAAGUUAAUAAAUGUGUCAUGUAUACACGAUUAAAUAUAAUAACACGAUUAAGUAAACGUGUUUAAACGUGUUUUAAACAUAUUUGUCGUGUCUGACACGUUAAAACUAAACUCAAAACCCGUUUAACCCGUGUUUUCUCGUGUCGUGUUGACGUAUCGUGUUCAAAAUUACCAAGUUUAGAAAUGAGCAUUAAUUAUGAUUGUAAUGUAUGUCACAUUUCAUGUGAAUAUGAUUCUUAAUUGUUAAUACUUAUAUAACGAUUUAAGUCAUUCCCUAUCAACAACUUAAAUUUACCCUUUUGAAAGCCAUAUGAAAGCCAUAUGGCUUUACCCUAAAAUCUACUAAUAACUUGAUAUUUAAGUUUUUAAAAACCACAUAAUACAGAUUUAAAAAGUUACUGACCCAUAUCUAAUUUAAAUUUGAAAACUACUAACAACUUGAGUUUGAGAUUUUAAAAAUCACGUGAUUUAAAUAUAAAAAAUUAUUAAAUUCACAUUUGAUGUGAAUAUAAUUGUUAAAACUUAUAUAAUGAUCCAAUCAACCUCAAUUAACGACUUAACCUUGGCUGAAAAGUUGCUGAACUAGGGCUUAUACAUCCAUUAGAACAAAGUUAAAUCUAAAAAUUAUCAUUCAUCGACCAAAAAACCAAGUCAUGUUUCUUUAUCAAAUUAAGCUGUUUUUUUUUAAAAAAAAAUUUACUGUCUGUGUGAAAAUAAAAGGAGGCAUUAUUAGUACCAUCAUUCUUUCUACAACUUACAUAUCAUGGCACCUUAAUUUGCAGUCACAGAGGAAACGGAUAUGGAGGCCAAGAAUUGAAAUAUCUAACAACAAUGAACUUUCUAUGUAAAAUUAUAUUUAAUUAAGAAAGCGAUUCAACACUGACAAUUGACCAGAGUCUCCGUUUAACAAAAAAACUUCCAGAGGAAUAUAAGGAGAGUCCAAUGAUGAUCCAAACCGGUAAGUUGGCUGCGAUAAUCUGCAACCUUUAGCACACUGGAUGGUUAGGAGACGUGGUCCGGUUCUCAUCUGCCAGACCUGUGCAUGAUGUGGUCAAGUAAACAUUGACUGGAAUAUAACGCUAAACGUUUGCUCUACUAAAUGAAGUUCUAAGAGCAAAGCCAAAAAUCUGUCAAAUGUAUCUCUGAUAGAGGAAAAAUUAGUUACAUUGAACCCACUCAUGAAAGGAUCAACGAAGAUGUUUUCUUUAUGGAGUGAACAUAGUUUACAGUAAUCUGUCAACCCGUUUGCACAAUUAUUUCCACACAAUUAGAGUAAUACAUCAAUUCAUUUCCACAAUUAUUUCACUAUAAUUCCAUACUAUUCAAUCCCAACUAUCUAUAGUGUAAGGGUCCAAUUGUAUGUAGCCCUACGCACCCCAUAAGCCUGUAUGGCUAGAUGAUAUCGACCCACUGCUAAAUGGUAAUGCAUUGUUAUCAUUGUGAUGAUAAAUGCUACUGACUAUUCCUGCUCUUACCAUCAUGGCCAUAAUAUAAAAAUAGAUUUUCAAAAUCCUAACAACAAGCACAACAAUAAAGAAAUAAUAAGAAACACUUUAAAGAAACAUGAACACACCUCAACAAUUCCUUUUCGAGGUGCAUGAAUGGCUAAACAGAGGCAGUAGUCACUCUUUCCUGGUUCAUAGUAAGAGGAACCUGACCCUAUAGCCUCCUUAUUGACUAACAUUUCCAUGAAGAAACAGCUUGCAUCACGAUAUCCCUGAAGAGUGUAUUAGGAAAACUGCUUACUGAGAAGGAAAGAGGAGCUGUUGCUUUUCAAGAAAUUGAAAACCAUAGAUGCAGAAAAAACCUUCCAUAGUCGCACUACUACAAGUGCCUGAGUAUCUAAGAGCAAUAUACGACCAAGUGAAUCUGUAAUAGCAGCCAAAGUGCCACUGGGUGAUAAGGUGAGCUUUUCACCUUUUCUUGGGUGAUCCUUCAAACAUGUCAAAGGAGAAGCUGGCAAAAGAUCAUGACAUCAAUAACAUACUCAACAGGUUUUGGAAAAGCCUUAAUAAAGAGAACUAAGAAAGUGGCUUAGGUUUGUAUGCUAACUAAGCAUGUUAACAUUCAGAACACAUCAAAAGACACAAUGGACUUGUAACAUUCUUUGUCUCAGAAUAUGAUAGAAACAGAAAACUUCUUUCUUAAAUAACUAAGACUCUCUCUAUCCACUUAACUAUUAAUUGCACAUCAGAACACGAUAAGAUGAGCUCUUUUGGUGCAAGCCCAUAGUUGAACAGAAAAUAUAAGCAUGUGGCAAGGAUGACAAUAAAAAAUUAUAAAAAGGCUUACUAAAUACAAUAAUCAGAGAAACAAGCAAGCAGAGGUUACAUGCUUAAUAAUGAGAUUGUUGCCACAAAUCUUGUGAUAGUACCAAAUGAAAAAUGAGAACUAAAGAUCAGUUAAAUGAUCUCAGCUACAGCAAACACUCCAAACCAAUGUAAAUCAGCUUCAAUCACCUAAAAAUUUGAAUCUAAGAAAAUAUUUCUUUUAGAAUAAUUAUAAGUAUACAUGAAUUUUGAAACAAGCACAUAUUUUUAGAGAUUUACACUACAUAAUUUAAGUACCACGGAGAAGAUAAUAGCAGAACCAAAUGAGGAAUAAUAUACAAGUUUAACAAACUUCACCUUGAGCAAACGAUUGAGGCUUCUCUUCUGACUUCCUCUUUGGCGUUUGUUCACUCCGCCAUAUCAUUUUAGAAAAAGAAGCAAUUGUGGAAAAUGUUGCAGGCACAACUUUAGACAAAAUAGCUCCUACCAAGGAACGGUUCCUAUCUUCGGAAAGUCUUCAACAUAAUUAAACAAAAGUUUACCAAUAAAGCACCAAAAGAAAAGAAAAAGAGAAACUACCCAUGAAAGAAUCGCUUCUUGUAAUGAAAGAGAAAUCAUACUAUAUUUCAAAAUGCGAAGAAACUAACCUGAAAGCUGAGAUCACAGCAUCAUCUCCAAUGGUGACUGCACAAUGGUAACGUUGAUUGGACUGCCCAACAAUAAAAGCAGCUGAAUUCAAACACCAGAAUAACUUCAGAAAGCUUCCGUAAUUCAUUGGCGAAACAAACAAAAUCAUAAAUAAAAUGUACUAUAACGAGCAAAAUAUUGAACCAGUAAAACCAGUUUUUUAUAUUCACAUUUUGAAGAUCAAAUGGCCAUUAAUUAAGAAUUGAAAAAUAAAUUAUUCAGCUGUUAGCAUGAGCUAAUACGAUUAAGCAACAUUAAAAAUCACCUGGAGUUCCAUAAGAGGGGGUGGCAUUAUGCCUGUGAUUGCUGCAUCAACACAUGUCCCAUACUUAUUAACAUUCCAUAACUGGUAAGGUAAUCUCCCAUAAGAGUUUCCUAUAUCCUCUGAAUCUUUCUUUGGUUUCUGAUCCCAAAAACGAGAAUGUGUUUCUUGAAACCACCUUUGAAGCAUACUCUACAUUACCAGAGGGGAGUCAUCUAAGUUAGCCAAACAAGUCCAAAAUAUACAUAAAUCUAAUGCUUUGCUUCUGCAUCAGAUAAACAGGCAGUUCUUGCCAUGUUCAUGAAUAACUAUUACACAUUUAAGCAGGGACUCACCUUUAUAUCAGACCCAUCAAAACGAGCAAUUACACCAGGUAUGACAACACAAACUUCCUCUGAAGAUAUAUCUUGUGUCAGAUCUUUCCUAGUUCCGCGGACGCUUAACUUUACGAUGCGUCCUGGAUAUACUAUCUAAAAUCAAAUAUUAAACAAAUCAGUUCACCAUUCCAACAAUGAUUUAUCUCUAACUGAUCUCAACCUAAUAACGUUUAGAUCUAAUUGAUGUUAACACAAGAAGUCUUCAUCCGACUUAUCAGUUAAAGAACUAUAAGUGUACAUGAAAAUCUGCAAAACACACCAUUUAUGUUCAUCUACAAAACACAACUGCAUCAUCCAUUGAAGUUAAAAUAGUAAAUUGAAGGUAAAACUACAAAACUAGACACAUAAGUAAAUAAAACAUUCAAUAAAUUGAAAUACAUCAAGCUACUAAUUUUAUUGUGCUUCUGGAAGCAAACGCAAAAAAGCAAUCAUUUUUGAAGAAUUCAAAAUGAAAAUGUAAAUUAUUUAGAUAUUCGAAAUGCAUAAUUAUACUUUUAUUUGAAGUAAUUAACACUAUAUUCAUUUAAUCAAUUACAUAAUUUUGCUUUAAAGCAAACUUUCAAGCAAAUAGUAAUAACAACCAAACCAAGCUCAAAAAACAAAAAAAAAUUAAAAAGAAAAGUUACCUGUCUAUGAAUCAAAUCACCACGCAAAGAGUAAACCAAGAUGAACCCUCGAGAGGUCCCAACCGCAAUCACUUUAAUCUCAUCGAAAACCAGCCACUCUAUGGCCGUGAUGUGCUCGGCCUCGAUAGGUGACAGUUCGGGACGGAUCUGGAGCCGAGGCUCAUCCGGGUCGGACCAUCCGAGGAUGAGAAUAAGUGAUCGGUUAGCGAUGGCGAGAAAAUGGGCGUCGAGAGCACAGAGGAGAGUGGUGCUGGCGUCAGGGGCUAGCCAUCCUUCCUUACCAGCGCCGAACUCGGACAAGUCUUCACCGGCGAUGCAGCCGAGAUCCGUCAAGUGAAGGUUGCUCCGCUUCGACAUUGGCGCCUGGCUUUUGCUUUUUU